CGUGAUUGGAUCCACAUAUGUUUGGUAAAGAGAAUAAUCUUCUCAUUUGAAAAUAAUAAAAAAUGGAAAGUGUUCAAUUGGAACAUGAAAACGUGACUAAAUGGUCCUAGUUACUCUUCGGGAUAGAGUGGAAGAAGGGAAGGGAUCCUUGAACGCGGAAAAUGAUUGAAUGAAUUCGAAAGAAUUGAACGAGGAGCUGUAUGAGGUGAAAAUCUCAUGUAAGAUUCUGUAGAGUGGCAGUAAGGGUGACUUAUCUGUCAACAUUUCUACUAUCACCCCCAAAAAACAAAACUCUGCCUUACGGAAAGUUGUCAGAGUACAAUUGACCUCUGGAUUUGAAAUCAUUGCUUAUAUACCCUGUAUUGGCCAUAAUUUACAAGAACAUUCUUUAGUCUUAGUAAGAGGGGGAUCGGUAGUGUUAUCUCUCACAUGGGAUCGGAAUAGGUAGUGACCUCAAAUGACGAGGUCUUACAAUCAAUUGUGACCAAUACUAGUGAAGAAGAAGAGGAAAACCUAGAGGAGGACCUAGAGGAAGACCAAUAGAGAAGUAGAGAUUACUCGUUUAUUAAAAAAAUUAAUUAUUAAAUUUUUUGAAUGCAUAAACCCCUACCUUUGAUGGAGCAUCUGGUCCAUAGUAGUUGAGGAAUAACUUCAUAACUUAGAACGACGUUUUUGACUCAUAGACUGCAUUGAUACCCAAAAGGCCCAGUGUGCGGAAUUUAUGUUUAUCAUUGAUGCAAGUCACUGGUGGGAUUCCAUAUUUUGAAUGAAGACCCCAGAGCAACAACUGACAUUAAUGUGGAGAACAAUUCAAAUAGGAAGUAAUGAACAAGUAUUUUACUCAAUCUCUAAGGGAUUUCAAGGAGAAUGAAUUCCUUCAACUCAAGCAGGGCAAUAUGUCCCUGAAUGAUUAUGAGCCAAAAUUUGACCAACUCUCAAGGUAUGCUUAUGUCACAUCGUUUCACAUCAUACCGUGAGAUGUUGGAACGAGCUUACGCUAUUUGGUAUCAAAAGGCAUAUGCAAAGCAACACCAUCAAUUGUACAACUAGUGGGACAAAGGGCAAGUUGGAAAGAGAAAACUAAAUGGUCAAGAAAAAGGAAAAGACAAAUGGCAAAAUAAGAAGGCAUUAACCGAACCUAGUGCUAGUAAGGGCAUCGUAGCUGCAGUAGCGCCAUGUCCUAAGUGCGGUAAGCCUCAUCAUGACGAAUGCUAGUUUGGGAAGAAUGUCUAUUUUCGGUGCAAUAAGUUAGGACAUAUUACUAAGAAUUGUCCCACAAUUGCUGAAAAGAAGGACUGUAACAAUAAUCAGAACAAAAAGAAGAAAACACGAGUUUUUACAAUGAAGCAUAAGGAUGUAGAGGAGAACUCAAAUGUGAUGGCAGGUAUAUUACUAAUAUUUGAUACACCUACUUAGUAGUUUGAUUCAGAAGCUACUCACUCUUUUGCAUCAAUAUCUUUCAUUGCUAAAUCUAGUAUAAAUUGUGAUAAGUUAGAGAGUACACUAGAAGUUAGCGUUCCCUUAGGCAGAACAUUAAACACAGGUCAGUUCGCUUGGUCGGUGAAUCUUAAAAUUGAGGGAAAAAUAUUUGAAGCUAACUUGUAUGUGAUAGAGAUGAAAGACUUUGAUGUAAUUUUGGGCAUGGAUUGGUUAUUAUAUAAUUAUGCAAUCAUUCAUUGUAGAGAAAAGUGAAGUGUCUUUUCAGAAACCAGGAGAAGAACAAUUUUCUUUUCCUGGAGUAAAGGCCAAACUCCAUCUCCAACUAGUCUUACAAGCCAAGAAAGUGUUGAGAAAAGAAACAACUCAAGGAUUUCUAGUUAAUAACUAUAGAGAAAAACUGGAAAUGAUAAAGAUUGAGGUUUCAGAACUCAUUAUAGACAUUACGAGUUCACAGUUAUGCCAUUCGAAUUGACAAAUGCUCAAGUAGUGAUCAUGGGUCUGAUGAAUUGAGUAGUUCAUCAGUAUUUGGAUAAAUUUGUUAUAAUCUUCAUUGAUGACAUUCUGAUUUACUCCAAGAGUAAAGAUCAAUAUGAAGAACAUCUUAGAAAAGAGCUAGAAAUAUUGCUCAAGGAAAAGAUGUAUGCCAAAUUUAAAAGUGUGAAUUUUUUCUUUAGUGAGUUGGAUUCCUUGAUCAUGUAGUUACUAUCCAAGGAAUUGAAGUAGAUACAGUAAAAGUGGAAGCAGUAACUAAUUGGAAGACACCGAUUGACGCCGGUGAAGUUCGAAGUUAUCUAGGAUCACCUGGGUACUACGGAGAUUUAUAGAAGGAUUCUCCAAAAUAGCUAGACCAAUGAUACAAUUAACAAGUAAAAGAGUAAAGUUUCAUUGGACAAAUAAGUGUAAGCAAAGAUUUUAGGAGCUAAAAAAUGAUUGAUUAUAGCACCUGUACUAACCAUACCUGAAGUUUCUGAAGGGUUUGUUAUAUGUAGUGAUGGAUCCAGACAAGGUUUGGGAUGUGUACUGAUGAUGCAACAUGGAAAUGUGAUUGUCAUACAUCAAGGAAAUUAAAGCAACAUGAGCAGAACUACCCGACGCAUGAUCUCUUACAGCGGUAGUUUGUGCAUUAAAGAUAUGGCACCAUUACCUAUAUGGAUGAAAGGGCGACAUUUACACGGAUCAUAAGAAUCUCAAAUAUUUAUUUACAGAGAAGGAAUUGAAUAUGAAACAGAGAUGAUGGUUGAAGCUAGUAAAUGAUUAUGAUUGUACUAUUCAUUACCAUCCUGGUAAGGCUGAUGUUGUUGCUGAUGCUCUAAGAAGAAAGUUGAUGGGACAGUUGGCAUUAUUACCUACUAUUCCACUGGAGUUGAUCAAAGAGUUAGAAAAUUUGCGAAUUGAAGUGACCACACCAUAACAAGUCACUGCUCAUUUAGCAACUUUGAUGGUUCGACCCACUCUUAGAGAUCGGAUCAUAGAAGUACACGAUAAAGAUAAAUUUUUGCAAAAGAUCAAGAAUGAGAUUAAUACUGAUAAGAGAAAAGAUUUCGAAAUAGCUUUUCAUUAGGCACUAAUGUUUAAAAUAAGAAUUUGUAUACCUAAGGAUGAAGUUUUGAGGAAAAAGAUAUGGGAGGAGACUCAUUCCAACCCGUACAACGCACAUACUGGUAGCACGAAAAAUGUACCGAGACUUUCGAGAUACAUUUUGGUGGACGAAUGUGAAAGGAAGUAUAGGAUCAGUUGUGGCAAAAUGCAUAGUAUGCCAACAAGUUAAAGCAGAACAUCAAAGACCAACAUGGUUAUUAAAUCCAUUAGACAUAUUUGAAUGGAAGUGGGAGAAUAUCGCAAUGGACUUUGUGGUAGGAUUUCCAAAGUCAGUAAGGGGACACAGUUCUAUAUGGGUAAUAGUGGAUUGUCUAACAAAGUCCGCUCAUUUUCUUCCUGUAAAAAUGACAUUUAGUCCAGAUCAGCUGACACGGAUGUACAUUUGAGAGAUUGUAAGACUGCAUGGGGUUCCUGUGUCCAUUGUGUUUGAUAGAGAUUCGAGAUUUACGUCAAAGUUUUGGAAGGGCUUACAAGAAUAUAUGGGAAAGAAAUUGAAUUUGAAUAUGGCAUAUCACCCUUAAUCUGAUAGUCAAUUUGAAAGGACCAUUCAAACUUUAGAAGAUAUGCUAAGAGCAGGUGUUUUGGAUGUAGGAGGUAGUUGAGAAUCGUAUCUAUCUUUAAUGGAAUUUGGACAUAAUAAUAGUUUACAGGCAACUAUUGGAAUGACAUUGUAUGAAGCUAUGAUAAAAGGUGUAGAUCACCUAGUCAUUGGGAUGACGUUGGAGAAAAGAGAUUUUUUGGACUAUAGAUCAUUGAAAUAACAGUUGAAGCCAUUGAUAAGAUCCGUACCGGGAUAAAGGCCGUGCAAGAUAGACUAAAAAGCUAUGCAGAUACCAGAAGAAAAGACUUGGAAUCCAAAAUUGGAGAGAAGGUUUUUCUAAAAGUGGCACCAAUAAAGGCAAACUACGACCUCGUUAUCGGACCUUAUGAAAUACAUGAUAGGGUCGAAAAUGUGGCUUAUCGACUGGCUUUGCCGCCUAAACUAUCUGUCGUUCACAGCGUGUUUCAUAUAUCGAUGAUCAGGAAGUAUGUGCAUAAUCCUAAUCGCGUGGUGAAUUAUCAACCCAAAGACAUAUCUUAUGAGGAAUUACCAAUUAAAAUAUUGGAUCGAAAGGUACAUAAAUUACGGAACAAGGAGAUUCAACUCGUCAAAGUGUAAUGAAAUAAUUAUGGACUAUAAGAAUCUACUUCGGAAAAGAAGAAGUCAAAGACAAAUAUCCAACACUCUUUGCCAGUCCAUAAGAUAAAUUUCGAGGAAGUAAUUUUAUUUAAGGUGUAAGGGAUGUAGAAGCCCAAGAAAUAAUAGGCUAUUAUGUUGUGAUGAUCUCGCACCACGAGUCUAGCUCAUUCAAGAAAUAAGCUAUGAAAGCUCAACCCAUUUAGGAUUUUGAAAGCCCAAGCCAUAUGUUAAUUAAAAGCCUAACAAUUUAUGAGAUUAAGUUUAAGUAUAUAUGAUUAAAAAGAUUUAAUGAAUAACUGAGUUGCUUACCACAAUAGUCAUCUAUAUGGUAUUUUAUAUAGGCAACCCAUGUUCGGAUAACCAUGUAGAUGUUUUUAUAAAACUUUUUAUAAUUAUUUUUAAGUUUAAAAACUCUUCAAAUUCUUAGUUAAAGACCCAAUUUAACAAACUUAAUGAUAAUAUAAUUCCCCCAUUUAGUUUUUCAUUAAGAAAAAAAAGGUUACAAGAAGUGAAAUGUCACUUUUUCACUACACCCCUCUUCAAAUCCGAAUUUCCUCUUAUUUUCUCUCAAAAAAUAUUUUUCAUGUCAAUUUAAGCUAAGGAAAUAAUAAGGUUGAGAAGAAGCUACACAUUUUGUUCUUUGAUAUCCAAGAAAAUUCAAGAUAGGUAGAGGUGUAAGUGUUUACUUUGUUUUAAAUUAUGAUUUUCGAUAAAUGUUUGAAUGAAAUGGUAACUUCGAGUAUGGUGCUUCGACACUACAACAGUUUGAAUGAUCAUUCUCCGGCUCUACGUGUUAUGAUAAUGCUAUAAUAAUUGAAUUUUGCUGGAAAUUCAUCUACGUGAGACGGUAUGAGUCUAUAGUUUGAAAUUUUUAAUUUAACAACGAAAUGUACCAAUGAUAUAUAUUGAGUUUCAAACUCAUGGGUUAAUUUCCUUCCUACAUAUUGAGUGGAUCUUCCUUGGGGCAUGGAUGAUGGUAAAGGAUAAUGUGACAUGUCAUAGAGAAACCGGUGAUUUAAUAUCUUUAGUUGAUUAUGAAAUGUUUACGUUUUCUUUAAAUUAGAUUCCUAUGGAUGUCAUGUGUGGAUAUAUUCUACGAAACAUUGGUAUGAAUAAAAUAUGUUGGAAAGUAGAUAUAUGUCAUAGGAAUAAAUUUCAAAUCACCGUUUACAAAAAAUUUGUUAGCAAUUUAAAGUUCUGCUUUCUCUUCAAAAAAUUCAGAUUCUGCCUUGUCUUUAAAAAUUUAUAACUCUUUUGUUACUUGGUAUUUUUAUACGAAGCCGUGAUGUUGGAUAGCCUCAUAAGUUAACUAUUGAAUGAACUUGGAAUCGUGUCAAUCCAAUGUUGGUAGAAUUUUAUAUGUUGUAUAAAGUAAAUUGCAUUGGGUACAGUCGCCAUUUUUCCAGCUUCUGCCUUGACUUCAAAAUUUCAUAACUCGACCAUUACUUGGAAUUUCUGGAUGAUACCAAUUGGAUUUGAUAGUCUCAUGGAUUAACUACUGAAUAAAUUUAAAAUCAUGUGGUUUUGAUGUCUAUGGAAUUUUAUAUGUCAUUUUAAGUGAAUUGCACCGGUUUACAUUUCAAUCAGGUUGCUGCUGGGUUUUGAAAAUAUUUUAAUACCUUGUAUGAUGCCGAUGGAAACUAAUUUUUGACUAUGUCAUAUAAUAAGGAGUUUCCUACUUUACCUUAAAAUUUGAUGAAGUUUCGAGGUUGAUAGGUAUGUAAACAAAUUUAUUUUGAUAAUUAACGUUUGAGAUAAAAACUGAAAUAGCAAUAUUACUUUUUAAAGUUUGCAAAAUUUCACGACAAUAGUGGUUACAGGCAUAUACAGUAUGCUAUAAAUAUGGUAUGAUGCAAAUAUAGUAUAUUGUAAAUAUGGUAUGAUGCAAAUACGGUAUGUUGAAAAUUCGGUAUGUUGCAUAUAUGGUAUGCGUUAAUCCAACAUGAAAAGUGUAUAUACGGUACGAAUGAAUUCAUUUUUUUAAAAUUGUUUUCUUUUAGUAUUAAAUUAAAAAAAAUUAAUUCUUUAAUACCUUCCACUAAAAAUAUAGUUAAAUAAAUUUACGACUAAAGUUUUGGAUUUACAUAUAAUAUUAUUUUAUGGAAGAUUAUGUGAUUAAAAAUAUGAGAGAGAAAAAUGAAAUAGAAUUUAUAGGGUCCGAAUGGGGGCUUAAUUCAUGCUAAGUUAGAAGAUACGAAGCUUGAAGUGUUGCUGGAAUUUUCGUUUUCAAUUUGCUAGAACUUUUUUGGGAUUUUCAUUUUUUGGAGACUAAUUAUGCAGACAAUCAACAAAGGCAAGAAAACUAAAAAGCAAAUGGAAUUGGUGCACUAAAUUUAAUUGUACAGAACAAUUCUUGAAUGUUCUUGAUAUUUGUAUUAAUACAAAAGACUCAAGAAGAUGAUGACGAUGGAGAAUUGACGAAAAAGAUGAAGGCUCAUAAAUGGGAAUUAGAAAAAAUGGGGAAAGAUAAAGAUAACCUUGAUUUUAGAGCCAAAGCUCUGAUACUAACUAAGGUGAACCAUGUAACAAUAUUAGUUUUGAAACCCAAACAAGAGUGAAUGAGUUGCCCAAAUAAAGGUAAAAUCCCACUUUGAAGCUUAAACAAAUAAUUUAUCGAAUCAAGGAACCAAGGUUAUAAAGAAACUUGACCUCCAAAUCCCAAUAAUUAUGAACCUUGCUAUGAAAUUACUGAAUACCACAAAGAGGAUUUCCUUGUUAAGUUCGAAAUUGAGUUUAAUGAAGAUCAAGAAGAAAACGACCUUGCUUUUGAUUUAAUCUCUUGACAAUGACUUAAUUUACAAUUAAAGAAUGAGGCUAUAUAGGCAAUAACAAAGAAAUCCUAAAUGACUUGUAAAACGUCAAUAAAAUAUCAAACAAAAAAGGUUCUAAAUGAAAAAUGAAAAAUUAGUAGCCUUCAGAUUUUUGUGGUAUGAGAGCGCACUGUGGGUUGAAAUUUUGCUUCCAGGCAUGAAUGACAUAUUUUGCCAACGUUCACACCCUUUCUGGCUACACUUCAGGCUUUGCUAUUUCUAACUUACUUUUAAUUAAGCCCCUGUUUGAUUCCCAUUACCUGAAAAUGAAAAUGGGGGGAAUAGUAUUUUUUAGAAAAAUGAGUAGUUGAAAAAGAAGGAAAAGUUUUCGAUUUACGUGUAAUAUUAUUUUAUGGAAGAUUGUAUGGUUGAAAAUAGGAGAGAGAAAAAUGUAAUGUAAUGUAAUUUAAUUUAACGGGGAUCAAAUAGGGGCUAAAUGCACUAAGGUGGGUUCUUCGUUUAUGCCCAUUUAGAAACUUUGUAUGUUAUUCAUUGCACUCGACCUCUUGGGCCACGUAGUUUGGACAAAUAAUCCAUGACUUCUUUAAUCUUCUUUGCUCGUUCAUUGGUGUCCUCCUUCCACAUUUAACGGUUUAUUGCUUAUCAUUUGUUUCAUGGCUCUCAUCAAAAGGCUCCUUAUAUCGGAGAUUCUGGACUUCACUCGGUUCUUCAUAUUGAAUUGAUUUGCAUAAGUUAAGAGGUCAUCGCAUGGAGUCUUCCUAGAAUUCUACAAUCCUCUUGUUUUCAUCACAUCUUCACAAGUGUCUUGCACAAAACCAUGAACCCUUUUGUCAAUACAUGGAAUAUCUUGUGUACCUAAAGCCAAAAUAUCAUGCAAGCAUAACCUCUUAUCUGCCAAUAUUUCGAGACUAUAAGUCUUCACUUCCAUUGGAAAAUGUUGUUUAAAUAUUUUGAAGGUUUUUAAGCUUUUGUGUGCCACUACUUUUUGAACUCGUAAGCCUCUUUUGUCAUUUAAUGAAAUUUCCUUUAACUUGUCUUUUAGACUGAUUUGAUUUCCCUCUUGGUAAUAAUUCUGCCUUUCCCAAGUAGUAUUCUAUAUCUCCUAACAAGUCAUCAUCCUCCAAUUUGAGGUUUUGUUUAUUUUACCAAUUUCAUCUCUAUGCCUGCUUGAUCCCUUUCAACUAAGAUUUUGUCGAAUUUUACCAAUUUCAUUAAAACAUUCUAGUCGGAUUGGAUUGAUUUCAUUGACACAAAUUCUUCAAAAAGAUCCUGUCAUAACUUCAAGAAUUUUCUAUUACCAAAUCAAGCGAAGAUAAAAGUCGAUUAUCUUUAAUAAUUACCUUUUUAACCAAGUGAAGUUGGUUUUCCAUAGAGUUUUCUUUCUCUUUGAAAAUGGGAUUGUUUAAUUCGCUUUAAAGAGAUUUUCCAAACCUUACACAAUUCAGCAAUUUUUUAAAUGUUCCCAGGGUUAUCAAUUUUAUGACAUUGUGAUGGAAAGCUUGAUAGAGAUCUGGAAAUCCAUUCAGAUAUUUUAUCCAUAAUAAAAGUCUAUGUCUGAAACCAUGAGAGAUUGAAUUCUAAAAAGAAGGCUAUAAGAGGUUUUGUGUGGAAGCUCUCCUAUCUAUAGUAUUCUUUAAGAAGGGAUUGACUAGUUUGAAAGAUUUGUGUAAUGAAUUAAAUCUUUUUUGGAAAAAUCUUCUCUUUUGAACAUAAAAAACCAAUUUAUUAUCAUCAUCAUCAUCAUCAUCAUCAUCAUCAUCAUCAUCAUCAUCAUCAUCAUCAUCAUCAUUAUUAUUAUUUUUUAAAUACGAUUUUGAUACAAAAUGGUUUUUCUUUCUGACUCAAUGUAGUCCUAAUAAUUAUAGGGCAGAUAAUACUUUACUUCUUUUGCUAUUUUAGUAACAAUAGUUUUAUCAACAUUGGGAUAUUCCCCCAGUCAACAUUGGGAUUUAACCCCUAGAGUUUAAAAGUGAUUACUCUUAGGAAAAAGGCCUUACUGAAUCCAAUUUCAUAUUUAUUUUUGUCAUUGUGGACAAAUUCAACAGAUCCUAUCUGAGUCAAGAUUUCUUCAAAGAUGUCUGGAUUUUGGAUACUGUAUGUUCUUGUUAUCAAAAGGAUCAGAUCUAAAUUUCAGAUCUCCACCGUUGAGUAGUAGUAAUACAAUUAUCUCUAACAUUUCUUUGUCCUAAGUUUCUUAACAAUUACCCUUUCCCUCUCCACCGUUGAGUAGUAGUAAUACAAUUAUCUCUAACAUUUCUUUGUCCUAAGUUUCUUAACAAUUACCCUUUCCCUCAAUCAGGGCUCCUUUAGAAGUUUUAUUUUGCUUCAAGUAUUUUGAUUUUGGCUGAACUAUCGAUGCUUGCAUGAGAAUUUGAGGAGCUUUCGUUAUUUCUUCCCCUCUCCCUUCCCUAACAUUGGGAUGAUCUGCUACAGAUUGUCCCUACAAAAUUUCUCUUGUUAAAUAAUUUGGUAAAGAAUUUGAAUCUUUAGAAAUAUGUUCAAUAUGAAAAUAAAAAAGAGAUCAUAUAGCCUCCCACCUUGCAAAAGUUUGUUUUAAAUCAAUAUUUUUAACAUAAGCUGUAAGACUUCUUUAACUGACUUGCAAUCUAUUCUGAGUAACAAUUCUUGUUUUAAAAGUCAUCUGGGAACUUAGAAAUACAUUUUAUUAUGGGAAGAAUUUCCUUUUUAAAGAUUGAAUGAUUUUUCUAUGUAGAAUUCAUGUCCCAAAUGUAUAUAUAAUAAGUUCAUCUUUAUUGUUUUUAUUAGGAUUCUUUUGCUUAAGUGUCCAUUCAUAUUCAUAAUUGUGUCAAUCAAGUAUUUUUACAUGAAAAUUCGUUUGAACUUUUUCUUCUCUUUCAGAAGAAGUUGAAGAAUUAGUUGAAUAAUAAUGAUCUGACUAUCUUGCACUGUAAAGCUUAUUAUUGAGACAUGGAUUUGAUCUUUAAGAUAAUCAAAGAUAUCUAAGGUCUCAAUUUGAGAUAUUUUGAGCAUAAGGUGUCAAUCCUUAGUUCUUGAAUUUUUUGAGACCUACAUUUGGAAGCAUAAUGUCCUAAUUUACGACAUUUCCACUCUGAUAAGUUGAUAAGUGAAUGCCAUGGAAAGCUCUGAUAAGUGCAGAAAUUCUGAAAGAACCAAAAAGAAUUUACUCUCACAAAAUCAUGCAUGAAAUCUUAAUUGCCUUUAUUCAUCGAGCUAAUAACUAUUUAAACACAAAGGGGUACACGAAUUUAACAGCUAGAAAAUCCAAAAUUAUGCGCAAAAUCUGAAUAUGAUGUCAUGAAUUCAUAAAUAUCUAGUAAAGGAAACUAAAUAUCCUAAUUUCAAUGCUGGAAAUUGAUUCCUAAUGGAUCUCUUUAAAUCACGCUUAUUCCACCAUCAAAUAGAGAGUGCAGGCCAUACAACUCAGGAAAAUAAUUAAUAAUAAAUAAGAUAAUUUAACUAUAUUAAGAAGAUUGCUUUUUAGUGGCAGCCAACCAAAAUCAUGUAACUCAUCAAUUUAGGAAACUAAACUUUAAUUCACACAAUCUUGAGUAGUUCUCCUUGAGGAGCUUUAUUGCCAGAUUACUCCAAAGCUUGAAUCAUGAAAUCCAUCUCUGUGGCACACAUGGCGCAUCUUCCUCGGGCCUCCAAGAAUUCACCUCAGUCUUAUUUUGAAUCAGCCAUUGAGAGUUUCCUUGAACCUUUUAGCUCCAGCUCUUGUGGCCAAUUGGAACUUGAAUAGGAUCUACAAUCCAUUUAUUAUCCAUGCCCUCUUCAUUCCCCUCUUGAAAAGGAUUUGUUCUCAAAUCAUUACCUAUAUCAAAAGGACUUAAAUCUAAUAACAUGGAAAUGGCCCUAACAUUGUACUCAACUGGGAAAUCCAGCUUGUAUGCAUUGUCAUUGAUAUGCCCAAUGACUUGAAAAGGUCCAUAUACUCUUAGAAGCAACUUAGAAUGCCUUUUUUGUUAGAAACCUCUCUUUCCUCAGCUUUUGGCGUGCUUUUUCAGCUUGUUUGCAUAUUGCUUCAUUUUCCUCUCAAUGAUUAGUCUUGCCUUUUAAUGUAUCUGUCUAACAAAUUCAGCCUUUUUCUUUCCAUGCACUAAUGUUUAGACAAAGGUAAUGGGGUUAGACCUAAUGUAAUUAAAGAAUUUGCAAAUAUCUUAGAAAGGAAACUAAAUAUCUUAAGUUCAAUGUUGGAAAUUGAUUCUUAAUGGAUCUCUUUAAAUAACACUUAUUCCACCAUCAAAUAAUGAACGUAUCUAAAUUCGCAUGCAAGCCUUACAACUCAGCAGAAUAAUUAAUGGUAAAUAAGAAAGAUAAUUUAGCUAUAUUAAGAAGAUUGCUUUUUUAAUGGCAGCAGACCAAAAUUGUGUAAUUCACCAAUUUAGGAAACUAAACUUUAAUUCAAACAAUCUUGACUUGUUCUCCUUGUGGAACUUAAGAGAUUCUAUUAUUCUAAAGCUUGAAUCAUGGAAAUUCAUCCUUGUGGCAAACAUGAAGCAUCUUCCUUGGGCCUUCAAGAAUUCACCUUGGUCCGAAUGUCUUGAAUUAGCCCAUUGAGAGUUUCCUUGAACCUUUUAGCUCAAGAGUAACAAGGCCAAUUGGAACUUGAAUAGGAUUUGCAUUCCAUUUGUACUCGUGCCCUCAUCACCAUCUAUAUUUCAUUCAUAUAUAGUACUACUCAAGUAAGAUACUUGAAUAUAUAGAUCAUUUGCCUCAUAACCUAUAUUAACAAGGGAAGGUCUGGGAUAAUAAUUUAUAAGCUCGGUAUUCCUAUAAGAAAUUUUGGUUGUUCGAAUCUACAUUAUCUCAUAAUCAUUUGGAAGAAAUCGGUUUUCAAUUUUUUCUACGAUGAUUGAGUUUUUUGAGUCAUCAGAGGGUUCAAAAUUAGAAUUUUCAGAAUUAUCUCUAGUUAGUGUGUUGACUUUCUUUAAUAUUUUUUUAUACUGUUUUUACCAAUUCCUUUUUAAUCGAGCAAUUAAGGCCUCAAUUAAAUCAUCUUAAGUGGUUUUCAUUUUUAGUUCUAAAUGUUUUAUAGUGGGUUUAAAUACAAGUUGCUCAGUUUUUAAAUCUCAAGGUGAAGCAGGACAUUCCGUUUUCUCUUUUCUUCAAUUCCAUAUAAUUGUUUAGCAAGGGAAUUGAAGAUAGAGAUUUGCAUAAUUAUUUUGUAUUGGAUUUAAGUCUAUAGUUUUAACUACAUCAUCGGUUUUGAAUGAUUUAAAAAGUCUAUUUGAUUCAAGAGUUAAUUCACCUCUCUUAAUAGUCAUAGGAGUUGUUGGAGGUAUAAUUUUGUCUCUUUCUUCCAAAGGUUUUGACGUAAUUUUUAUGGCACCUAGUAGCCGUCUUAUUAAACUAAACCAUCUUAUAAAAGGUAUAACAAUUGAAUUCUUUUCUAAGAAAGAGUAAAAAUGUUCCUGAAUAGUUUUCUUUUCAAUAGAAGAAUGAUUUUUGUAAAACCGUUCUCUAAAGGCUUGAUUUUUUUUUUCUUUCAUAUAAUCUCUAUAGAUUGUUUCCAAUUAAUAAUUAUUUUUGAACCAUGAUGGUCUUGAAAUAGUAUUAAUUGAAAAGUUCAUUUCUUAAGAGGUUGGGGAGUCGAGGUUUUCCUUCCUUUUGUAUACUACCUAUUAGAAAAAAGAUUUUAUGACCCAAAUAAUUUCAGGUAAAGAAGAUGCGGUAGUCCUCUAAUCCCUAGACAUAGUUUUUGAAUAAAAUUUAGAGAUGUUUAAAUUUGCCCAUCUUCCACUUCUAUUAAAGUGGAUUACAACUAAUCCAUUACGAGUUUUGAAUAGUUCGCUCUACAUCUUGAUUCUCAUCUAGUAUAGGGUUUGUGGCUCCUUCCAAAAACCAUUGUUAGGAUAGUUCUAGUAUUAAUAAAUAUUGGUCUCGAUCAUCAUUGUGGAACCUUUUGCAAGUUACCUUAGAAUUUGGGCCUAAAGUGUUUAUAACCUUAUAAAAAUACUCCAUAGAUCAUAGCGAUAUGUUCACUUAAUGCUUUCAUUUCAUAUCCUUUAGAUUUGAUGUUUAAUGUUAAAUCAUCUAAUAGAUUCGGAUCCAUUAGAGACAGAAAAAUUAGGAAAGCAGUUAAAAUAAACAAUGUCAUAUAACAUAACUGGUUUUUAAUUAAACCAAGUAAACUGUCAUUAAAUUUUAAAUGUCUGCAAUCUCUUAAAUGCCAUACAAGUAAACAUGCUUUAAUCAUUCUUUAGCAAGAGGUUUAAGGGCUACUUGUGCUACCUAAUGUGUGAGAAUUUAUGUUUCUCUUUUACGAUAUCUAGAUCAAGUAACCUUAUGGUUUCAAAUCUUUGUAUAAUAGGGAUUUUUUUUAGUAACUUUAAUUAUCCUUCUUGACUAUAUGCCCCCAUUUGAAUUACUUGAAAUUCUAUUACAUUCUAUUUUUAUCUCUCCUAUUUUGGUUACACAUUCUUCAAUAAAAUAACAUUACACGUAAAUCGAAAACUUUUCCUUCUUUUUCAACCACUUAUUUAAAAAAAAACACUAUUCUACCCUUUUUCAUUUACAAAAAAUGAGAGCCAAAUGGGCGCUAAGUCAAACAUUCCUAUGUUACAUAUUUCUUUAUUUCUAACACUUAGUAUAUGCAAUUUUUUUUAUGUAGGUUUUAGUUUCUUCUUGUAGUUCAUAUUUUAAGAGCAUUUCUGGUAAGUAACCUGAUGACGUACCAGUAUCCCAUCCAAAUGUCUUUGUUAGCAAAUAGGCUUCCAAUAAGUCCCAAGAGCCAAUGGCAUAGAGAGUUUAUUGUCUCUAUUGUGGGGAUAGCAUCCCAUGCCAACAGCCUUUAAGUUGACCUAUAAUUCAAAUCCUUGGACAAGCAUUUGGGUUGUAACUAGAAUAUUAUUAUGUCUUCGGUAGACGUUAGCACAAAGAAUCAUUCUUUGUAGUGUAUCACUAACAGUAUAUAUUCAGUCUAUCCAUCCAUAUUCCAUUCAUAAAUAGUGCUAGGGGUAUAGGCAAAUUGAGCUUUUUCAUCUCUCUCUCUCUCUCUCUCAUAUCCUAUACCAGUGAAGGUCUAGGGUAAUAGUUUCUAAUUAUGUCAUUUCUAUAAGGUGAGACUUUUGAAACUUGAACCUUAGGUUCCUCCUCUUCUAGGUAAAAUUUUCUUGAUUUUUUUUUUGUUUUUCAAUUUCAAAAGAUUCUGCCAAUGAACUGACUUUAGAUGGUAUAAAAACACUUUAGUUUCUCUAGUUUACCAGAGAGAAGAUGCGACAAGUAAUAUUUGAAAAGGAAAAAAUUUCUUGUAGGGCUACCAAAGUUAUUUAGUGAUAUGAUAAGAAAAAGAAUCCUCGCUAAAGAUAGAACUAAUUAAUAAUGUUUAACUAUACACUUAUGGAAAGUGUACCACAGAAAGGGAGAGUAACAAGAAACUAAAUGGAGAAAAGUAUAAAGAAGAGAAAUAAUAGUAAAUUAACUCCCUAGGAAAACCAUUCCUCUAAAAGAAGAUAUUCAAAGAGAAAAACAUUCCCGCGAAAUCAUAACUUAUUCAAAAUCAAGGGCUGUAAAUGUCAUAAAUUACAGCAUUAUGCUUCCAAAUGUAUGUCUGAAAUAAUUCAGGAACUAUUGAUGACCUUAAGCUCAAAAUAUCUCAGAUUGAAGCCUUAGAUAUCGAUGAUGUUCGUCUGUUUCGCAAUAACUAAGAGACUUAGUAGGUUAGGAGAGUCGGAUUAUUUUUAUUCAACUAAUUCUUCAACUAGGUCUUCCAAAAGAGAAGAAAAUUCAGAAGACUAUUCAUGUUAAAAAAAUGCAUCGAUCGAAGAAAUUAUAAAUAUGAAUGGACUACAGAUUAUAAUACGUUAUGUAGGACUUAUAAUUUUAUUGCAGUUUCAAACUAGUUAUGUAGGACAUUAUAUUGGACGAUCAAACAUUUCUUCUUCAAAUGGUCGUUCAAGUUUUUUAUCCAAUAGAGAAAAAAGAUGUUAUAGAAAAAAAUCCUUAACAUUUACUCUAAGAAGAAAAAGUUUAGAAUCCAAUAAAUUUCUAUAGAAAUUUUCACUAUGAGGGAGCUUUUUAAUCUAAUGGAAACCCUUGAGGGAAAGCUUAUAGGACUAAUAGUCAAGUAGCUAUCCCUGAAGAAUCAGAAAAAAUAGAAGAUGAAAACGUCAUUAUUCAAAAGGGCUAAAUAAGCCAGAAGUCUUGAAUAAAAUUAAGAUCAUAGAGAAUAAGUUAUUUUCAGAAGUUUUGUGGUGACCUAAUGCUUUUUGGGCAGGAAAAAGAAAGUUGUUUUAAACCAUAUCAAAUGGAUUGAUGAAGAGAGUAUUCCUACUAAAGCUAGACCAGAUCCAAUUAAUAAAGAAGUGUUGUUGGAUGUAAAACUGAAAUUCAAUCUUCAAUUAAAAAAAAAAAAGGGAUUGAUUAGGCCAAGUUUAAGUCCUUGGAGUUUGCACUGCCAUUUAUGUUAACAAUGCAACUAUAAAAGAAGAGAGUACCAAGAUUAGUUAUUAAUUAGAACCCAUACAUGAUCCAAUGAUUGCUUGAAUCAAGAACCAAGGCUGCAAGGGUUGAAGCCACAAAUGUUGGAAAUCUUUGAUAAGUUCAUGAUAGUUUAGUUAAAAACAAGAUUGAAAGCGAAUCCUUACUUUAUACUAAUCUCACAAAAUAAUGUAUUGUUUAUUAGAAUGAAUACUCAAACAAUCUUAAUUAACUAGAAAAGUAUAAAAUAGAACUACACAAAUAGGGUUCAUAUAAAAAUGAAAAAUCGAAAUUCGUACCAUGUGUUGGCAUGAUAUUAAUCUUCAUCCGGACACAGUUCAAUCUUUUGCUCUCGAUUAUUUUUGUAGCUUCGUGCAAGGAUACUAAAGCCUUGCUUGGGCAUUGCUUUUCAAAUCAGCUCACUCUUCUUUAGCUUGAGUCAAUUGCACUCAGUGGUUCUUUCUUUGAAGCCCUUUUUGAAAUAAGGACUUUGGACAAGUCCAUUCAUGGCUUCACUAAACAUCUUUCCUCUUGAUCUUCUUAUUGGUCCAUAUGAAACAUGUAAAGGAUCCUUACUGGCUGGACCACCAUAAUUCUCAUCAUCUAAUACCAACUGAUGUAAUUCCCAAAACCCCAUCAAAGCGGCUUGGACAAACAAAAUUUGAUAUGAACCAUGAGAACCUUAAGAAAAAUAAAAUCAGAUGAAGAACCUUUACCAUAUGAUUUCUUGAAUCAAGAAACAAGGCUAGAAGGAUUGAACACCUCAAUGAUUGGAAAUCUUUGAUAAGUUUAGGAUAGUUCAAUUAAAAAAAAAAAAGAUUGAAAGUGAGGAUUUUAUAAAUAAUUUCUGAAAAUAAUGUGUAGUUUAUUAUACAGUAAUUAAAGCCUUAUGCAAGCGGACCCAAACAAAUCUAAGUAAUCAUAAAAUAUCAAAAUAAAGCUAUAUAAAUAAAGUUCUUAACAAAAUGAAAACUAAAUUUGUGUUGAAUUUUUAUAUCAUGCAUGGGCAUGGUAGUAGUACUUGCUUGGGCAUGGUCCGUCUAAUUCACUCUUAGUGCUUGCGUGAGCAAUAAAACUAAAGCCUUGCCUAGGCAUUGCUUUCACAAUCAGCUUCCUCUUUCAUAACUUGAAUCAAUUGCACUAAGUGAAUUUUCUUUCGAGCAUAUCUUGAAACUUCAUGUUUUUUCAUGACUGUUGAACUCUCAGCCCACAAAGCUUGGACAAGUACACCCAUGACUUCUUUGCUCUUGAUCUUGUUAUUGGUACAUUCGAAACAUGUAAAGGAUCCUUGCUACUUGGCCCACCAUGAUUAGGUACAUGAGAACACUAUUUCAGGAUGUAGCCUGGAAGCCACGCAAGAAAUGAUAUGAACCUUAAGAAAUCUAAAAUCCAAGGAAGAAGACCUACUGAAUUUUAAAUCAACUAACAUGGCUGGAAGUGUUUAACAUUACAAAGAUUUGGAAAUCUUUGAUAAGCUCUGGAUAUUUCAAUUACGAAAAAAUUUGAAAGCUAAUCCUCACUUUAUAAUUAAUAUCUCAAAAUAAUGUGCUGUUUAUUUUGCAAUGAACAUAGAUGGAUUCAAAUAAUCCUAAUUAACUUAUAAAAUACCAAAAUAAAAUUAUACAAAUAGAGUUCUAGUGAAAACAAAAAAUUAAAAUUCGUGUAGAAAUUUUUUCCACGCCGCCCAUGGAAUCCUUGUUUGGGCAUGGCUCAACCAAUUUGCACUGGUAUGUGAAACAGAGAGAGAACAUCUUUCAUACUUCCCUUGUACAGAAAUUGGGCUUUCUGUGUUGAAACAUUCUAGAUAUGUAAAUAGUACUACCCUUGUAGAGAAAUUGGGCUUUCUAUGUUAAAACAAUUUAGAUCCUAUAGAUUGUAGUGGUUUAAUGAAUGUAGAGAGGGUCAGGGUUAACAAACAUGUCUUGGGAAGCUUUACUAUUCAGACAUAUAGUGAUGAGGUGAUGUGACUGCUAUGCAUGCCAAGCAUAUCUUGUUGGGAAGGCCAUGGUCGUAUGAUAGAAAGGUUAUCUACAUAAUGGUUAUGAAAAUAGAUACAGCUUUGUGAAAGGUGGAAAAUCAAUUACUCUUAUCAUUAACACUAAAACAUGCCUAUCAGAAUCAUUGGUGAGGAAGAGAAGAAAAAGGAAGAAUGAGAAAAGAAUGGAGNNNNNNNNNNNNNNNNNNNNNNNNNNNNNNNNNNNNNNNNNNNNNNNNNNNNNNNNNNNNNNNUUUUUUUUUUUUUAAUGAGUGAAAUAAAGCGGGCUUUAGUGGAAAGCCAACUUCUGAUAUUGUUGAUACCAUUGCUUAAUUUUGAGGAAAGUAACCUACCCUUCCCUAGUUUGGUCAUUUCUUUGUUGUAGGAAUUUGAAGUGGACAUGUCUAGUGGAAUACCAUCCAUUCGAUUUACUUUAUACCUGAAUCUUUUAUUUUGCGCCAGUCAACUUAUAGAAGUAAUAUGUGGAGACAAAAACUUCAAAGGCAGGUGGAUGAAUAUAUGAGCAAAGGUAUGUGAGGGAGAGCAUGAGUCCAUGUUCUAUGCUAGUGCUAUUUGUACCUAGAAAGGAUGGGAUGUGGAGAAUGUCCAUUGAUUGCAGGGCAGUCAACAUUUAGAAAGGCAAAAGUAUCAUCAUCCCGCACAUAGAUUAGAUGAUUGCUUGAUGAAUUGCAUGAUAAUGUAUUUUUAUUAAAAUAGAUCUUAAAAGUGGAUAUCCCCAAAUUAGGAUGAAAGAAGGAGAUGAAUGGGAAGCUUUUUAGACUAAAUAUGGAUUGUAUGAGUGGUCGUUAUGCAGUUUAGACUUACUAAUGCAUCUAGCACUUUCAAGAGAUUAAACCCCUCAAUUUUCACUGCAAAAAAUCUCAGUGGCAGCUUGGUUUGAUUUUCAAGUCAGGGAGGAGAAGGUGCUGGAAGAGAAGAAUCUGCUAUGGAAGGGGAUAUCAAUGGAGUAGAAAUGAUGAGAGGUCCUCACCUAGUAAGAAAAGGAGAAGGACAAUAUUUCUACUUAUCUACAAUGGCUAGCAAUUUUUGUUUCGACGAAUCUACGGUGGAAGAUGAGUUUUAUAUUUUGCAAUGGUGAAGAUGACCCCAAGAUUUGGGUUUGAUUUUUAUUUCUCAUUCAGGUUCCAUUUAGCAGUAGAGAACAUGGUAGAAGAGGUGGUGGGGGUGGCGAUGGGUGAGGGAGGAGGAGGGAGAUGAACAGUAGCACUAUUUUGGUUUUACGUUAGUGUAGGGGUGGCAUGGGGUAUGGAUGGGGAUGGGUAAUUUCUUCUUGCAUUAAUUUGUUCUUCAUUUUUUAAUUGCUUUAUGUUAAAAAAUGCAAUGUUACCAUCUUACCCUUUUUAAUUUUGUCAAUUCAACUAUUCUUGGUCAACUAAUGGUCAAAUGGAUAGAAUCCAUUUGGACCCCAGUUGUAUAUUUUUAAAAGGUUUGGGACUAUUGAUGGCACGAAAUGAAGGUUACGGUAAAGUCUAUAAAAAAGUAAAAUGUUAGGGACUGUUGCUGCAAUUUUCCCUUUAUUUUACCAUGUUUGGGCAUGGUAUACUCCUUCACGCCAUCUUUAGACUUUGUGUCUUGCUCGUUGCACUUGAAAUCUCAAAUUACAUAGCUUGGACAAAACCUUGCUUGACUUCCAUAAUCUUCUUUACUUUUGAUCUUGUUAUUGGUUCAUCUGGAAUACUAACUAAUGGGAACCUACUCGUAGUAGGUACCCUAGAGCCCACACAAGAUUUGAUAUGAACCCAAGAAAGCUAAAAUUAGAUGAAGAACCUCGACCCAAUAAUUUCUUAAAUCAUGAACCAAGGCUACAAGGGGUUCCAAAAGAUUAUAAAUCUUUCACAAGUUCUAAAUAGUUCAACUAAAAACAAAAUUGAACACCAAUUAAUCUUUCGAAAUAAUGUGUUAAUUACUACACGAUGAUUAAAGCCUAGGUGGACCCAAACAAUCCUAAAUUAACUCUUCAAAGAUCAAAAUAAAACUAUACACAUAGAAUUCUAACAGAAAAGAAAAACUAAAAUCCGUGUAUUAAUUUGGGCAUGGCUUCUGAAUCAUCUCCCUUUUCUUUUACCAUCAUUCACGUCCCAAGGAAAAUUCAUUCAACCUGUAGGAAGGGAAUUAACCCAUGAGUUUGAAACUCAAUAGAUAUGAUUGGUGCAUUUUGUUUUCAAAUUAAAAAUUUCGAACUACAGAUUUAUAACAUCGAACGUAGAUGAAUUUUCGGCAAAAUCCAAUUACUAUAGCAUUAUCAUAACACAUAAAGCCAGAGAAUAAUCAUUCAAACAGUUGUAAUACCAAAGCACCGUACCUAGAAGUACCAUUUCAUUCAAACAUUUAUCGAAAAUCAUAAUUUGAAUCGGAGUAAAUACUUGCAUCUCUACAUACCUUGAAUUUUCUUGUAUAUAGAUGAACAAAAUGUGUUGAAAGCCUUUCUUCUUCUCACCCUUGUUACUCCCUUAGCUUAAAUUGAUAUGAAAUAUAUUUUUUGAAAGAAAAUAAGAGGAAAUUCGGAUUUGAGGAGGGGUGUAGUGAAAAAGUGACCUUCCACUUCUUGUAACAUUCAUUUUUAAUGAAAAACUAAAUAGGGGUUUGUAUAUUCAUUAAAUUUGUUAAUUUUGGUCCUUAACUAAGAAUUUGAAGAGUUUCUAUGCCGUAAAAAAAUAAUUCAUAAAAACGUUUUAUAAAAACAUGUACAUGGUGAUUUGAACCUGGAUUGCCUAUUUGAAAUACCAUGUAGAUGACUAUUGAGGCAAUCCAAUUAUUCAUUAAAUCUUUGUAAUAAUAUUUACUUAAACUUGGGCUUUCAAACUCUUAAAUGGGUUGAGCUUCUAUAGCUCAUUUCUACUUCUUCUUCUCUUUUUGAAGUAGAUUCUUCUAUUCCAUGAUCAUUCCAUUACACUUUAACCAGUUGAAUCUCCUUGUUCCGUAAUUUAUGUACCUUUUGAUCCGUAAUUUAUGUACCUUUUGAUCCAGUAUUUUAAUCAGUAAUUCCUCAUAAGAUAAAUCUUUAUGUACUUCCAAGGGUUGAUAAUUGACCACGUGAUUAAGAUCAUGUACAUACUUCCUGAUCAUCGAUAUAUGAAACACAUUGUGAACGGCUGAUAGUUCAGGCUAUAAAACCAAUUGAUAAGUCACAUUUCCGACACUGUCAAGUAUUUCAAAAAGUCGGUAUAAAGAGGUCGUAGUUUGCCUUUCUUGUCGAACUUGAGUAGACCCUUUAUUGGUGCCACUUUUAGAAAAACUUCUCUCCAACAUCAAAUUUCAAGUCUUUUCUUUUCGUAUCUGCAUAGCUUUUCUACCAUAGAGAGCUUCAUACGGUGCCAUUCCAAUAGUUUCUUGGAAACUAUUAUUAUAUGCAAAUUUCACUAAAGGUAGAUAUGAUUCUCAACUACCUCUUAGAUCCAGAACGCAGGCUCUUAGUAUGACAUCCAAAGUUUGAAUGGUCCUUUUAAUCUGGACCAUCGGAUUGAGGGUAAUAUGCCGUACUAAAAUUCAAUUUCGUUCCCAUAGUUUCUUGUAAGCUCUUCCAAAACUUUGACAUAAAUCUUGGAUCUCUAUUAGAUACAAUGGCAUGGGGACACCAUGAAAUCUUACAAUUUCUCUAAUGUACAACUGUGCCAAUUAAUCUAAACUAAAUUUGAUUUUUACUGGAAGAAAAUAAGCAGACUUCGUUAGACGAUCCAUUAUUACCCAUAUAGAGCAUUGUGUCCUCUUCCUAACUUUUGAAAUCCUAACACAAAGUUCAUUGCGAUAUUUUCCCACUUCCAUUCAAGUAUGUCUAAUGGAUUUAAUAACCAUGUCGGUCUUUCAUGUUCUGCUUUAACUUUUUGGCACACUAUGCAUUUUACAACAAAUGAGCCUAUACUUCCUUUUAUGCUCCUCCACCAAAAUGUAUGUGCGGUGUAUCGGUGGAUUGAGCCUCCUCCAAUAUCUCUUUCCUCAAAACUUCAUCCUUAGGUAUACAAAUUCUUCCUUUAAACAUUAGUGCCUGAUCAGAAGCUAUUUCAAAAUCCUUUCUCUUAUCAGUACCAAUCUUGUUCAUGAUCUUCUGUAAGAAUGGGUCUUUACUUUGUCAUUUUAUGAUCCGAUCUCUAAGAGUAUGUUGAACCAUAAAAGUUGCUAAAUGAGCAGUGACUUGUUCUCGUGUGGUAAUCCCUUCAAUUCGCAAACUUUUCAAGUCUUUGAUCAACUCCAUCUGAGCAGUAGGUAAUGAUGCCAACUGUCCCAUCGACUUCCUACUUAGAGCAUCGAUGUAAAGCCCUGGAAAAUUUUAUAGAAUAGAAUUAAUUGUUUUAAAUUCUCAUUUCUUUGAGUCAAAUAAUUAGAUUUAAUGGAGCAAGUUUUAGUAUAACAAUAUUAGACUCUUUUUGUAACUUGUAAUUAAUUAGAAUUUUUUAACCAAAAAAAAAAAAGGUUAAUUGAAAUAGUUAGGCCCAAAAUGUAAAGUUCAAAGAAUGUCCUUUAUUAUAAAAUUAACGAAGUUGACUUUUUUGGAAUUCAUUAGUUGUCAAACACAUGUGCCUUUAUAAAUUGAAUGAUUGAGUAACUUUAGGCCAUUUUUAUAGCAUUUGAGUGUCCAUAUAUUGUGAUAGAAGAAUUUUAGGUGGCUCACGUGGAUAUCUACAUGGAAUUAUUAUUCUAUACCUUAAAUAAGAACAUUAAGUUGGAAUUAAUAGAGGGAUGAUAUUUUUUACCGGACGGAAUACACUUAUAGACACGGAAAUAGAGAUAAGGCUUUGGGAACGUGAAGUAAUUGCUUUUCUUCCAACAAUUCUUCUUAUCCAUCGAGGUAGAAUUUCGAGGUGCAAGUGAUUAGUCCCGUUUAAAUUUUUUUUUAUGUUGAUGAAUAUUAUGCUCAUGAAAUUUAUGAUAUGAUAUGAUAUGAUAUGAAAUGGCCAUCUGAUACCAAAGAUAUGAUAUGAUAUGAGCUCUUAUCAGUUCUAAAGAUAUGAUAUGACGGUAUGAUUAUUUUGACGCAUGAAUUGAUAUUUUUAUUCAAGACUGCACGAUACUCGUGUCCUAUCGAGUAUUCCCACAUACUCACCCAUUUUCGCUACUCCUCACAGGUUAGAAUGGGUCGUUAGUUGGCGGGCGAUAUGGUGCGGUCAUUGUGCCAAGGUUUAUGAAACUCAAUAAAUAAAUUCCGGUGUAAUGUGACUGAACAUUUUAUUUCCAGCAAUAAUCUUAGUGGUGUUUAUGUUGAACCACUUUCAUUUUUAAUGAAUUAGACAAUUUAUUUGAUUUGAUCUAUAGUACAUAUUAUCGUGAACCAAUUUCUUGUACACUUAGGCUACUAUAUAAGUUACAAUCUGUUUUAAUUUUGAUUUCUCAUAUUCAAUUAGUACCCUGCAUGUGAUUUAACUAUUGGUUGAAUUCGAUAAAAUUAAGUAGCUAAUUAAAAUUAUCCACUAAUUAGAGGAAACAUAGUGCUAGGGACCAUUGUAUCAAUUAUGUCAAAGAAAUUGAAAAAAAAAUCUUCAUUUGCCUGCCACUUACGCCAAAUCCAUAAAAUUAUUUUCUUUGCCAAUUAUGAUCCCAAUGUUUAAAUUAUAAAUUAGUUAUGGGUAUUAUGCUUCAUUGGACUAAGUCACCGAAAUUGAAUAUUUGUAUAUAUGUUGUUGUUGGAAUUCCUCAGUUACACAUAAAAUUGAAUUCUAGGAUUUAUUUAAGAAUUUGAGAUAUAUCCAAACAUGUAAGAAUAGGGUUUUGGGAAAAGUCUUCAUUUUUAAGAGAAUAAAUAAUUAUGAGAUUUGAAAAAUUUCUCUACAACAAAUUUUAGUAAAUUAUUGUCACAUGCGAUGCAGUUUUAAAUUCCUUUCCUUUAAUAAGAAAAUUUUGGUUGCAAUCUAAACUCAAAUAAAAUAGAAAAAAAAAACAAAAAUAUUUGGGUCGUUACAGUUUGGUAUCAGAGCGCAGAGCUAUAAAAUCGAUUCUGUAGACAAAUAAAAAAAAAAGAAAAAGAAAAGUUAACUAUUUUAUUAAAGAAAGUGUACUGGGUCUCGCCACAAAAGGUCGUCUCAUGAUCAUCUGGUAAGGUUUAAAUUUUAUUGUGCUUUUAAUUGAUUACCAUUCAUUGAUGUAUAUUCAAUGUAUUAGUAACAUGAGUUUAAUAAUGUUGAAAGUGUGUAUGUAAGAGAUGCCUUUAACUAGGUCGAUGAAAAAGUAAAUGAUGUAAUUGGUUCUCUUAAUUCAUGAUCAAAUAAUAUCACUAAGAUAAUAUGGACCCUAUGAUAUAAGCACGCAUAUUAGUCAAGGACUUGUCUAUAUUGCUAAGCUAAGUUUGUUACGGACAAAUCUCUUCAUUGAGAAAGCCCCAUUUAUUCAUGAGGAUUAAGAUGAUGUUCUUGGUUUAUGCCCAAAAUAGAGAAUGAAAUGUGUCAUUGAUUAUACCUUAAUACAGCCUAUUGUGGCAUUUGAAUGUGAUGCAAGCAUGUUACAUCUUGAAUCCAAUUACGUGAUCAUUAAUGCUAUCAUUGCGUUUUACUCCUAAAUUAAUAAUUUAGUUAUGGUUGAAUUUGUAUUUAUCUCAUAUUUAUAGUUCCAUGCUUAAAAUGAUGAUGAUGAUGAUGAUGAUGAUGAUAAUAAUAAUAAUAAUAAUAAUAAUAAUAAUAAUAAUAAUAAUAAUAAUAAUAAUAAUAAAUAAAUAAAUAAAUAAAUAAAUUCAAAUAGUUGUGGUCAUAGGUUAUGAUUAAAUAAAAGUGCUAAUUGUGAUUAAUGUUUAAGUCAAAUUGAUGCAUUCCUGUAAAUCUAGUCCUCGUUUGCCCAUGAAAAAUCAUUGAAUUUCCAAAGUUUUUUUAAACAUUGCCAGGCCCCACAUAUGAAUGAUAGUUGAUAGUACACUUAUGUGGUUCAAAAGGGUUUGACUACUAAAAUUGAUUAAUGCAUAAAAUGAAAUUUGUACCCCUAGUUUUGCCAUCUUGUUGAGUGAUAGCAGGAGUAAGGAUGGCAUUACACAGGUGAAACGGGAGAUACAUAUGUUAAUGGGGUUCAAACGGGUGGCAUUGAUGAUUGGGAAAUGCUUACAAUGUUAGGAAAAUAAUAAUAAUAAUAAUAAAUCGUAAAAAUAAGAAUGACCCAAGUACUCAACGACCACCAAUCAGCCACCAUCCGACGACUCCGAGGUAUGUAAAAGGCUAAGAAAACACAUUUAUUUAAUUUAAUGUAUUUAUUUAUUUAUUUUUUGCAUAACUUAAAUAUUUUAAAUUGCCUACUUUUAAAUUCGAGACACGCCGUUUGUUGACCCGCUAAAUUAUGAUAUAUAGGCAUAAAUGUUAGAUUUAGUAUUGGUGUGUAACGAAUAACUUAAAUUUUUAUGAAAUGGCCCCACCUACCCAUACAAAUUUGAUGCGCAACCUGUUGCAAGCGGUGCAAGAGUUGACCAGACAGAAUCAAGCUCCUUCACCACAAAAUGCACCGCCACAACAAGAUACACCUCCAUUCGUUCCUGGAGCGAUUUCUAUAGUUGAGCAGUUUCGUAGGUACAAGCCUCCUACAUUCGACGGUAAUUCCAACCUACUGGCUGUUGAAGAGUGGAUUAGAGGCCUAGAGCGUAUUUUUCGACACAUUUCUUGUACAAACGCACAGAAAGUACUAUGCGUAGAAUUCAUGUUGGUUGGAGCAGCCGGUCACUGGUGGGAAUCAGUCUCAUGCACUAGGACCGAAGAACAGCAACGUAACUUAACUUGGGAACAAUUUAAGGAUGAAGUGAUGGCAAAGUACUUCCCACAAGCUCUGAGAUAUUUCAAGGAAUCUGAGUUUCUACAGCUCAGACAGGGAAACUUAUCACUUACUAAUUAUGAGAGGCAAUUCGAACAACUCUCAAGGUAUGCCCCAUACUUGGUGGAUACGGAAGUUAAGAAAAUCAGAAGGUUCAAGAAUGGACUACGACCAGAGAUCGGUAUGAUCAUUAUGUCUCACCGUUUUACUUCAUAUCGUGAAAUGUUGGAAAGGGCUCAUGCUAUUUCAUAUCAAAGGACUACAUUUGAACAGUAUUCCAAGCAAAGCAAGGAGUCCCUGGGAAAAAGAAGGUGGAAUGAUCAUAGUAAGGACACACGUAACUAGUCGAAUAAAAGACCAAGCAUAGGAAUUCGUAUUGGUGGAACAAAUGGGAUUAUUCCACCUUGUCCUAAGUGUAAUAAACUCCACAAGGGUGAAUGCUUAUUUGGUAAGAACAUGUGCUUUCGAUGUGGUAAGCGGGGACACAUUGCCUUACACUGUACAGAACCUCCAAAGAAGAAAGAUGAUAAUCAGGACAAGAACAAGAAGGAGAAGGCCCCAGUUUUUGCACUAAACCAGCAUGAGGCGGAACAGGAUCCGAAUGCGAUAGCAAGUAUUGUAAUAUUAUUUAGAAUAUCUAUUUAUGUUCUAAAUUUUACAUUCUUCGACGCUAGGUCUAACACUAUUAUUACGGAAACAGGUAUCCUAUCAUUAUCUGAUGUACCUGCUUACGUACUUUUUGACUCUGGGGCUACAAAUUCGUUUAUCUCUACAUCCUUUGUCAUUAGGUCUAACUUUGCAUGUGUGAAAACGAAUAAUGAAUUAGAGGUUAGCAUCCCUUUAGGAAGAACUCUUUGCACUAAUCAGAUGACUAAGGUUAUGAAAUUAGAGAUUGAUGGGAAAAUACUACAGGUAGACUUAUACAUUUUGGAGAUGAACGAUUUUGACGUUAUUUUAGGCAUGAACUGGUUGGAACUCAACCAUGCAACCAUUCUAUGUCGUGAAAGAGAAGUAUUAUUUCAUAGGCUGGGAGAGGAAGAGUUCCAUUUCUUUGGAGCAAAGUUCAAAUCUCUACCUCGUCUUGUAUCGGCAAUACAAGCGGAGAAAAUGCUGAGAAAGGAGUCAUGUCAGGGAUUCUUAGUUAAUAUCAACGGUGCCAAACAUGCCGAGACAACCAUUAAAGAUAUUAACAUUGUGCGAGAUUUUGUAGACGUAUUUCCAGAAGACCUACCCGGCAUUCCACAAGAUAGGCAGGUGGAAUUUACUAUUGACUUAGUUCCCGGUGGUGCAUCUAAGGCUCCGUACCGAAUGACACUGAAAGAACUCCAAGAGUUGAAGUUACAAUUGGAGGAGUUACUGGAAAAAGGAUUCAUUCAACCAAGUGUAUCUCCUUGGGGUGCUCCAGUACUUUUUGUGAAGAAGAAGGAUGGGAGUAUGAGGAUGUGCAUUGACUAUCGAGAAUUGAAUCAUUUAACUAUCAAAAAUAGAUACCCCCUACCAAGAAUAGAAGAUUUAGUCGACCAAUUAAGGGGCGCAACGGUGUUUUCGAAGAUCAACUUGAGGUCGGGGUAUCAUCAACUGAAGAUCAAGGCAAGCGAUAUAUCAAAAACUGCUUUUAGAACCCGUUAUUAGCACUACGAGUUUACUGUCAUGCCUUUUGGUUUGACCAAUGCUCCGACGGUGUUUAUGGACCUAAUGAACUGAGUGUUUCAUCAGUAUUUGGACCAGUUCGUCAUAGUAUUUAUUGACGAUAUACUUGUGUACUCCAAAGAUAGGAAGCAACAUGAGGAACAACUUAGAAUACUAACUUGAUACUUUGAGGAAGGAGAAAUUAUAUGCCAAACUCAAGAAGUGUGAAUUUUGGCUCGAUCGCAUAGGUUUUCUUGGUCAUGUGGUUACCGCCCAAGGAAUUGAAGUAGACCCAGUUAAAAUGGAAGCAGUAAUUAAUUGGCCUAGCCCGUCGAGUGCAAGUGAAGUUCGUAGUUUCUUAGGAUUGGCCGGCUAUUAUCGGAGUUUUAUAGAAGAUUUCUCAAAAAUAGCAAGUCCAAUGACUCAGUUGACUCGAAAGGGUGUGAAGUUCCAGUGGACGGAAAAAUGUGAGAAGUGUUUUCAAGAACUUAGAUAGAGACUAGUCUCAGCUCCUAUUUUGACUAUACCUGAAGGUUCGGAUGGGUUUGUAAUUUAUAGCGAUGCCUCCAGACAAGGCUUGGGUUGUGUUUUGAUGCAACAUGGAAAGGUGAUUGCUUGUGCCUCAAGACAGUUGAAAUAGUACGAGCAGAACUAUCCAACGCAGGACCUAGAACUAGCAGCGGUGGUUCAUACCCUAAAGAUAUGACAUCAUUAUCUCUAUGGUGGGAAAUGUGAAAUCUAUACAGACCACAAGAGCCUCAAAUACUUCUCACACAAAAGGAACUAAAUAUGAGACAGACGAGAUGGUUGGAAUUAGUGAAAGAUUAUGACUGUACAAUCCAUUACCAUCCAGGUAAGGCUAAUGUAGUUACAGAUGCCCUAAGCAGGAAGACAUGAUCACAAUUAGCAGUUUUACCCACGGUUCAGGAACACUUGAUACAAGACUUUAAAAAGCUGAGGUUGGAAGUUACCACUCCGUCAACUAGGACUACAGCGAGAAUAAGAGCGUUUAUGAUUCGACCUACUCUUCAGGAUCGAAUCAAGGAAGCACAAGAUAAGGAUUCAUUUUCACAGAAGAUAAAAGCUGAGGUUGGUACAAACAAACGUAUAGGAUUUGAGGUAUCUGUGGAUAACACGUUAACUUUUAAAGGAAGGUUGUGUGUGCCUAAAGAUGAAAGUAUAAGAAAUGAGAUAUUGAAAGAGGCUCAUUCUACCCCGUAUGCUGCGCAUCCAGGCAGUACAAAAAUGUAUCGAGAUCUCAGAGAUACAUUUUGGUGGAGAAACAUGAAGAGAGAAAUUGGACUAUUCGUGGAGAAAUGUAUUAUCUGUCAGCAAGUUAAGGCAGAACAGCAAAUGCCAUCUGGAUUAUUGAACUCGUUGGAUAUACCGAAAUGGAAAUGGGAACAUAUAGCGAUAGAUUUUGUGGUAGGCUUUCCGAGGUCAGCAAGAGGACAUAAUGCUAUUGGGUAGUAGUUGAUCGUUUGACAAAAUCAGCCAUUUUCUGCCUAUCAAAGUAAAUUUUAGUAUGGAACAGCUCGCACAGUUAAAUAUCAGAGAGAUAGUUAGACUGCAUGGAGUUCCUAUCACCAUUGUUUCAGAUAGAGAUCCGAGGUUCACAUCAAAAUUUUGGAAAAGUUUGCAGACAACCAUGGGGACGAAAUUGAAGUUUAGUACUACCUAUCAUCCACAGACGGAUGGACAAUCCGAAAGAACCAUUCAAACUCUUGAAGAUAUGUUGAGGGCAUGUGUUUUGGACCUUGGCGGUAGUUGGGAGACACACCUACCAUUAGUGGAGUUUGCUUACAAUAAUAGUUUUCAAGCCACUAUAGGCAUGGCCCCAUAUGAAGCACUUUAUGGUAGAAAGUGCAAGUCCCCUAUCCAUUGGGAUGAGGUCGGGGAAAAUAGAAUUUUAGGUCCUGAAAUAAUUGAACGAACAGUUGAGGCUGUUGAUAAGAUUAGAGCAAGAAUAAAGGCAGUGCAAGAUCGAUAGAAAAGUUAUGCUGACAUUAGAAGAAAAGAUUUAGAAUUCCAAGUGGGCGAUAAAGUUUUUCUAAAAGUAGCACCAAUGAAAGGUGUGCUGAGAUUCGGAAAGAAAGGGAAGUUGAGACCACGAUUCAUUGGACCUUUUGAAAUUCUCGAAAGGAUUGGUAGUGUGGCUUACCGACUUGCCUUACCACCUGAAUUGACAACAGUGCAUAACGUGUUUCAUAUUUCGAUGCUGAGAAAAUAUGUCCAUGAUCCUAAUCACGUGGUGAAUUACCAAACUUUAGAGGUACAAAAGGACCUGUCUUACGAAGAAACCCCAAUGACGAUUUUAGACAGAAAACUGCAUCAACUCAGGAAUAGAGAAGUUCCACUGGUCAAGGUGCUAUGGCGUAAUCAUGAACUGGAUGAGUCAACAUGGGAGAAGGAAGAUGAGCUUCAAGUCAAAUAUCUAGAACUCUUUGAUUAGUUAAGGUAAAUUUUCGAGGACGAAAAUAUUUAAAGUAGGGGAGAUUGUAAAGCUCUGGAAAAUUUUAUAGAAUAGACUUAAUUGUUUUAAAUUCUCAUUUCUUUGAGUCAAAUAAUUAGAUUUAAUGGAGCAAGUUUUAGUAUAACAAUAUUAGACUCUUUUUGUAACUUGUAAUUAAUUAGAAAUUUUUAACCAAAAAAAAAAAAAAAGGUUAAUCGAAAUAGUUAGGCCUAAAAUAUAAAGUUCAAAGAAUGUCCUUUAUUAUAAAAUUAACCAAGUUGACCUUUUUGGAAUUCAUUAGUUGUCAAACACGUGUGCCUUUAUAAAUUGAAUGAUUGAGUAACUUUAGGCCAUUUUUAUAGCAUUUGAGUGUCCAUAUAUUAUGAUAGAAGAAUUUUAGGUGGCUCACGUGGAUAUCUACAUGGAAUUAUUAUUCUAUACCUUAAAUAAGAACAUUAAGUUGGAAUUAAUAGAGGGAUGAUAUUUUUUACCGGAUGGAAUACACUUAUAGACAUGACAAUAGAGAUAAGGCUUUGGGAACGUGAAGUAAUUGCUUUUCUUCCAACAAUUCUUCUUAUCCAUCGAGGUAGGAUUUCGAGGUGCAAGUGAUUAGUCCUGUUUAAAUUUUUUUUUUUUUUUUAUGUUGAUGAAUAUUAUGCUCAUGAAAUUUAUGAUAUGAUAUGAUAUGAUUAUGAUAUGAAAUGGCCAUCUGGUACCAAAGAUAUGAUAUGAUAUGAGCUCUUAUCAGGUCUAAAGAUAUGAUAUGACGGUAUGAUUAUUUUGACACAUAAUUGAAAAGUUAGAAGGAUUGUUUACCAUGUAUAGAAUUUGCAUAUAAUAGGGUCAUGUAUUCUACUACUACUUAUCCGCCUUUUGAAAUUGUGUAUGACUUUAAUCUACAGACUCAAUUAGAUUUAAUUCAUUAACCGAUUGAUGAAAAAUGUAUUUUAGAUGGGAAGAAGAAGACUGAAUUGGUAAGGUCAAUCCAAGAGAAUGAUCAACUUCAAACUGAGAAGAGUAAUGAACAUAACUCAAGCUAAUAAAGGAAGAAAAUGUGUAACAUUUGAACCAUGAGAUUGGGUCUAAAUGUAUAUGUAUAACAAACGUUUUUCAGCCUAGAGGAGAUGGGCCACUCCAUGUCCUUUAAAAGAUUAAUGACAAUGGGACCCUCCAAGCGAAUAUCAUACUUCUACUUUCAAUGUUGCCGAUCUUUCUCUCUUUGAUACAAGUAAAGAUUCAAAGUCGAAUCCUUUUAAAGAGGAAGGGAAUGAUGAGAAUCAUGGAGGGCAAGCUAGCAAUGAUCCUCUUUUGUAUGUUCCAGAUGGACCGAUUACAAGAUCAAGAGUAAAGAAGAUCAAAGAAGCCUUAGUACACUUAAUUCAAGCUAAGUUGGAAGUAGCAGAGAUGUACCCAAAAAGGAAGAAAAGAAAAUUAACUUAGGCCAAAUCAAGUGAACGAGAAGCGAUCACACUACAAUACGUGCACGCAGUACAAUAUCUGAAGGCAAUUUUUUUUCUUUUUCGUUUAAAACUCUAUCUGUUUGAUGCUAUGUCAAUGUUUUACGAAUUACUUAGUAUUUUUUUAUUAUUGCCUAUAUAUAUGAGACGUCAUUGAUUAUACAAGAACAUCACGACAUUACUUGAGAGAUUAAUAUACACAUCAUAUCUUAACAAAGAUCUUUCAAUCUUUUUUUUUUUUUUUUUUUUUUUUUAUCGGUAAGACCUUUCAAUCUUUGUGGCAUUCAACCCUUCCAACUCUAGUUCUUGAUUCAAGAAAUCAUUGGGGUUAAGGUUAUUACUCUAAUUUUAGCUUUCUUGGGGUUCUAUCAAAUCUUGCAUGGGUUUCUGGGAAGAUUCUGCAAUGAGGUUCACAUCAAGAAAGUCUGAGUGUAUGUAUGUAAUCAAUUAAUGGGCACCCUCAACCCGACAAAGACAUGCGCAUGCGUGGAACUAAAUUUGCCCAUGGGGAGGCAAUUGAUGGCCUUGUGCUCACAAGGUGUGGUAUAACAUGUAUGCACAUAGAUCACCAGUAGGGAGAAUUUUUUCUCUGUUGUAAAACUUGACCUAUCAAAGCUCCUCGACCACUCCCAAAACUCAAUCUUCGAGCAAAAUGUUUUUAAAAUGUUAAAAAAUGGUCAAAACCAUGUAAAUCAUUUUGCACUCAUGGUAACUCACGAAAAAUAGCCGUUUGGUCUAUUUUGGCUCUAAAAAUUCAUUUCGAUUCAAACAAGAUUUCUCAUUGGAAUUAACUUUGAAAUCUUUUACCAAUUUAGCGGUUGUUUGUUCAAUUUCUCGUGGAGUCAAAUUCUCAACAGUAGGAUCAAUGGAAUGAGUCCAGCUAUGAAACUUGUAUAAAUGUACGUAUGAUCUUUAUAAACAAAUUAAUCGAUGAAGAAGCCUAAACUACCUUAAAACACACGAAAACAUAUAAAUUCCUAACCUAAUGUAUAAGGAUGAAUAAAAGGGAAGAGAAAUUCCCAACAAGCAUUUAUUUAUAGCCUAUAUCUCGACUUCAUUUUUUAGAUCAUGAUUGGGAACCUAAUGGAUCAUACACAAGAGGAGAAUAGAAUAGUGAGAUUUUUCAAUUAAUUAAUAGACAUAUGUUGCACAAUUAAUUAAUUGAGUUGUUUGUUAAUAGGCCUAAAUUAAUUAAUUCAUGGACCAAAUUUAAUUAAUUGGAAUAAUUAAAUAUUGAACCAAAUUAAGUCUGUGAAACAGUAACAAGAAAUUUUUUAUCUUGCACACAAGAAAAGAGAAACCCUAACUCUCUCAUUCUUGUUCCCUGUAUGGAUUUUCAUUGAAGACUGGACUAUUAGACAGCUGUGUAUUAUAGAUCGUGAUUGAUCAUGUUCAAAACAAGCAAAGGAUUCUGCAAAUUCAACAAAAGUAUAAUUCUUAUCGCAGCUUCUGUCUAAAUACAAUGCAGAUCAUUGGCAGAAAUUAAAUUGUUUUUAUUUUUUUUGUGCAUGAUUAAAGAAAUUCUCAACAACGGCAUUAGAGCCCACUUUGUAUUUGUUAGAGAUUGUUUUGAAACUUUGGGAACAAUCAAUAAUUGAUUGUUUAUCUUUCAUGUAUUUAGCUAUUAAGAAAAUUAAUUUUUCAUUUUCAAAAAUCAUUUUUUGAAACAAAGUCAAUUUUGGAUCAAAAACGAAUUGGACAGGGCUGGUCAAUGGUAAAAGUUGCUGUCAGCACCUGUGGUAACAACCAUGCACAAAGGUGGCAGCAUCAUGCAUGCUCAUCGUCGCUAUCGUCUGCUGCAGUGAGUGCGACUGUUGAUGUAGUACAUAGCGCAAUGUUAUAAUGUGCCAUUCUUUCCAGGCUCCACAGUUGUACUUGCAUAGCUUGAUGGAAAGAGGAGGCGUCGGUGACUCUUGACACCGCUGAGAAAACGAGAAGAAAUGGUAAGGAACCCUUUUUAUUUUGGUGAUUGCAUGCGGAAGCCUUUUAUAUAAUUUGAGAAAUUGCAGGCCCUGCUAGCAUUAUUAUCUCGAGGUCAAUUUGCAAUUAUUAAAGUAAGAGCCUGUUUGUAAUUUUAAAAAUUUUUUGGGUUUUAUUAAUAAUUUCCAAAUGGGUCAAAUUGCAAUUUGCAAAAGGAGAUUUGAAUUUAAAUAGUUUUAAAUAUGAUUUUCGAAUGGUUUUUAACCUAAAUUUGAAUUUUGCCCGAAUAAAAUUUUGUUUUAAAAUUGACGCCUUUUAAAUUAUAGUUAAAAUUGGAUUUUAACUAAAAUUUCAAAAUUUGACCCUAAAUUUGAUUUGAUUUUAUUUAGGAUUUUUAUCCUAAAUUAAAAGGUUAAUUCAAUUAGUUUUAGGGUUGGACUCUAAUUUGAUAUUUAAAUAAAUUUUAUUUUAAUUAAAUUAUCUCACCCUAAUAUAUUCUUUGAAUUGGAAUUGGGUUCUAAUUUGAUAUUUAAUUAAAAUUAAAUUUUAAAUAAAUAAUUUUGCCAUAUAAUUGUUGAAUUAGAGUUAUAAUCGGUAUUUAAUUAAAAUUUGAUUUUAAUUAAAUAUACCAUUUAUUAAAUUAAUUUGAUUAAUUAAUAAUUUAACUAUUUUUGAUCCUUUUUUCUAAACUUGUUUAGAUGACCUUAAUUGCUAGAAACUUGAAAUAAUGUUGCAUAUAAUAUUAGAUAUUAUGGAAAAAAAAGCAAUUAUGCGAUGAAUGUACACUUAAUGGAUGAUUAUGGACUCAACCAUAUGGAUAUGUUGAAUGGUUACUUAGUUUUAUGGGUAUGUGAGUUCUUAUUUAUUUUUUAUACCUGCGAGUCCAUUGUAAUUAUUUUGGGCCUAAUGUCCAAUUAUUUAGCCAGCUUGCCAACUCGUAUAGGAUACAUGUUACAGUUGGAAUAAUUGAAGAUAUAAGAAGAUGAGAAAAUCAUAUAGAUAGAGCAUUGUAUGAAUCAAUGCAAUACCCUUAGGAAUUAACCAACUAGUCUUUCUUAUGGCUCUGGAAGACUAGAUAGUAUAAAUCCAAAUUGUCUACACCAUUAUAUAUGUUUAUUUAAAUUACAUGUUAGAUGUAUAAUAAAAAAAUAUAUAAUUAUCACGAUGUGACCUUUGCUUGAUAAAUCCCUCCCUAAAUUAUUAAGUCAGUAUUAUUUUCACCCUUCAUUAUUAUAGUGAAAAACAACAAUCCUAAAUCAAUCUCAGCUUGUUGUGUACACUCAAAGCUGGUCCACUAGGUAUAUGUUAGACACUAUGAUUAGAUCUAUAUUUCUGAAUGAUGGGUUCUACUUAAAUAAAAUUUAUCUUCUGUUAAAUACACGUACUCAAGGAGAUAAAUUCUAGAGGUAUAUUAAGUUAACACAUAAGAUGUGUGAUGACAAAGAAUUCUUAACUUAAUAUUCCAGAAGUUGUAUGGAGAUACAAUUAAUAAUACUAUCUACCCAAAUGUUUUUAUCUUAGCUUGUUGAGCACACUAAAGAUCUUAAUAUAACAAAUGAAUUCAUAAAUUUAUAUGAGAUUGUCGUAAAUUUGAGUUAAAUAAUGGAAACAUAAUUAAUUUAAUAAAUGACCAUGAUCGAUGCAUUUCUAUAUAUUAUUCUUUAUUUUUUAUCAUUUACAUUUUUUGAAUCAAGAGUUACCAUAUAUAUUUGACGGGGAUACUAGAUGCCAACAAUCAACCCAAACUAAAUUUUCUUGAUUGACACCGCAAUUUGAGAAUUGUUUCAAGGAAUAAGAGAAUUGGUUAUGUCCUUAAUUAACCAUUUUCAGAUACACAUACUGAUGACUCAAUUGAAGAAGAUGUGAUUGGUUAGAGUAAAUCAUGGUAAUGAUAAUAGUAUUGCAACAUGUGUGAUACUUGCCUCUAUUUCACCUAAAUUACAAAAGCAACAUUACGGUAUAGAUUAACACACAUAAUUUUUCAUUUCAAAGAGUUGUAUGAUAACUAAUCACGUGUGAAAAGAAGCAAAAUGUUAGAGGGUCUUUAGUCAGUGCUCAUGCACUAAAGAUGAUCAGUAUUGAGAAAUUGUCACAAUUGAGUACAAUCAUGGACCAAGAACAAAGUAUAGACUAGGUUCUACAAUCUUUGCCAGAUAGCUAUUCACAAUUUAUUAUGAAUGUUAUAAAUAAGGUCGAGUACACAUUCGCUGCACUGUUGAGCCUAACAUCAAAUUUUGAAAAGGUUGAGUCUUGGCCAUUGAUUCCUCUAAGGCCACUAAGAGGAAUUAAAGGAGGCUUUAAGAAGGCAUCAAAGAUGACCAACAUAGUCAAAGCAAAGAAGAGCAAUAAAUCUAAUGACCCUAGGAAUGAAAGGUUAUUGGAAGAGAAAUUGCAAGGUUUACGUCUACAACAUAGGUUAUGUAAUAUAAUUAUUUUUGGAAAACAUGUGUAGUCCAAGUGGGAGAUUGUUAGAAACAUGGGUUUCUCAUUAUUAUUAUUUUUUUAUGGGCUAAAACAAAUAAUUAUAUUAUUAUGGGCUAUUUAUAACAUAUAAUCGCUAGAGAUACAUAAAUAAAGUGGCUACUAUAUACAAUAUCAUUUUCAAGAAACUAGUUUUAAAUGUUCAAAAAUCAGGUUGUAAUUAAAUUUUAUUAAUUAAAUAAGUAAUUUAAAAUAUUCUAUUAAUUAAAUAUAUUAAUGAAAAUUUAUACAAUUUAUGGUCACUGUUACAAACUUAUAGGUCACAACUUAUUUCUCGGUCAAAAAUUAUUAAAUUAAAAAGUCAUUAUUUCUCAAUCACAAAUAAAAAAUUUCAUAGAUCACAAAUCAAAUAUUUUAUAGGUCACAAAUGAUCAAAUUAAUAUGCCAUGUAUAAUGUUUCUCGGUUAUAAAUUACAAAUUUUAUAAGUCAUAAUUUAUUUCCUGAUAACAAAAUAUCAAUUUAAGUGGUACAAGUUAUUUUUCGAUCACAAAUCAUCUAAUUAAUUAGUCACAAUUUAACAAAUUGUAAGUCAUGAUUAUAAAUUUAGUUUCAAUUUCGCAUUUCUAGGUUACAUAUUAUAUAUUGGUCAUAUUCAUCCAAAUAAUUGGUCACAAAUACUCUUCAUCCCAUCGUGAGUUGUCCCACUCUGCCACCACUACCACACAACCAAUUGCAUCACCACCAUCACGGGCACAACCACAAACACUCUGCCACCAGCCCCACCUUACUCCUUCACCAUGACCACGACCACGACCAUGAACACUACCACUACUACACCACCAACACCACUGUCAGCAACUACCAUUUUCAACAACAAAACAACCACUACCACUAGUCACCACCAACAAAAACCACUUCGUGUGCACAACACAAUACACUAGUGACACCAUCAUUGCUGCCUGUUUCGUUCAUAGACGAUUAUGUGCAGAACCAAAUCAUUGACCGGCUACCACCAAUAACACUCCAUCCCUGCUGCAUGAACCACCCAAACCUCCGUAAAAAGCAUAAAAAAACCAUCAGUCACCAUAAACUAGCAUGACUCUAUGGCAAAACUCCAAAACUACCAUUAAAGCUACAUUUUCUUUUCCCAGAUCUAGCAAUGGGUCUCACAGCGUUGCUUGGAACCAUUGCUGCAAUAGCAUGAUGCUUGCAUAGCGUGAAUGGCAGCGUGACACUGUCGCCACCUUCACCACCAUAAAUAAUAAUGAGACUCACAUUGCAUUAUAACUGCACACUGAAUUUCAACAUGAAUAACACUUCCUCAGUUGUUGAACUUGCUUAAGACUGUUGAGCCCAAUGUCAAAGCUAGAGUGGGCAUGUCUUAGCCAUUCAUUCCUCUAAGGGCACUAAGAGGAAGACUAAAGUAAGUUUUAAGAAAAUAUCCAAGAAGGCUAAGAGCAUUAAUGAGACAAUCAAAGAAAAUGAGGACAAUAACAAGUCUGAUGGCCUGUGCUAUAAUUGUGGGAUGAAAAGUCAUUGGAAGAGGAACUAUAAGGCUUACAUCACCAGUUUAAAGGAAAAGUCUUCUGAAGCUUCCAGUUCAAGUAUUUUGGUAAUAUGUCUACUUCAUUUAGCUUCUUGGGUAUUAGAUAAUGGAUGUUGAUCCCAUAUUUGUAUAAAUAUAUAGGGACUAAAGAAAAAGUAGACCAUUGCAAAAAAGAGAACUUGGCCUACACGUGAGGAAUGGAGCAAGAGUUUUUGUGAUGAGAUCUUUUAUGGUUGUAGUGCAUUACAAAAUGACAUUUGCAUUUGUGAUACUAAGUAUCUAUUAUGAGCAUAGAAAUUAAAAGCUUGAAAAUGCUAACAUAAAUAAUACUUUCUUUGGCAUUGCAGACUAUGUUAUAUAAAUGAGAAACACAUUUGCAAAUUAGAUAGAUAUGGAUAUUUGGGGUCAAUUGAUUUUGAAUCAUUUGACAAAUACCAAUCAUGCCUGUUAGGCAUGAUGACUAAAUUUCCUUUUACUGGAAAAGGACAAAGAGCUGCAUAAUUAUUGGGCCUAAUAUAUAUUGACGUAUGUCCCCAUGUCAAUCACCUCUAGAGGUGGUAUCUUUUCUUUACAUUUAUUGAUAACCAUUCUAGAUAAAGUUAUGUAUACUUCACUUGAAAAGUUCAAGGAAUUUAAGCUAAAAGUAGAGAAACAAAUAGGUAAAAGUACUCCCGCACUAAGAUUCGAUCAAGGUGGAGAAUAUGUAAAAGGAGAACUUUUAGAUUAUCUAAAAGAGAAUAGAAUUCUUUUGCAGUAGACUCUGCCACAUAUGCUGCAACAUCACUUUCGAAAUGAAGGAAUCAUACACUAUUCGAUAUGGUCCAAUCCAUGAUGAGCUAUGCAACCUCCCCAAAAUCAUUUUGGGGUUGUUGCAUGCUUCGUGUCUCGUCUAAAUUGGUUGACAAAACUCUAUGAGUUAUGUAAUGAAUGGUAAAAGGCCCAACUUAUCUCAUAUUAAAGGUUGAGGCCAUGACGUUUAUGUGAAGCACAAUUGGAUAUCAAUUCUAUAAUCCCAUUGAAAAGAUCGUGUUCGUCUCAAGACAUGUCAUAUUCAUAGAGAAUGAGUUCAUUCUAGGAAAGGGUAGUGGGAGCAAAUUAGAAAGUUGAAGAAGUUCAUGAAUCCACAGAUAUUGUUGAUCAAUGAGAUGAACUGGAGUCUAAUUCCACAUCUACUGAGGAAGAAACUCUUGGUAAGAAAUAGAGACUCCGAGGACACUCCGACUUAGCGUAAAUUAAGUAGGACCAUUUGAACUCCUAGAAGGAUUCACGAUUACUAAGAUGGUAAGAGAUUAUGAUUUCAUUCAAUUAAGUCAACAACGAAAUCCUUGGUUAAUGUGUGUUCAUACGUCGAGAAAAGGUUUUUGACUUAUAUUCACUUAACUAUGGGAUGAAAGAUAUGAUUGAUAAUCGAGAUUAACACUCUUCUAUAUCUCGUAAUUGAUUUGAUCUUAUCGACGAAUGGAUUAUGGUUUCACAGUAAACGGACAAAUUAGUUUUGUCAUACCAUGUGACAUUUUCAAUAACAUGUAUUACCCUAAUACAUUGGUAGAUGUCAAUCUGAGACGACAGAUGUGGAUUGAUGAUAAACUAAAAAAGUGGUAUUUUAAUUUUUUGAUUUUGAUUCUAAUAAAAAUAAUAAUUUACAUUGUCAGGAAUUAUGAUCGGGAACUUAAUGGGUCACAUACAAAAAGGGAACUAGAAGAAUGAGAUUUACUAAUUACUUAAUUGCCAAGUAUUGGACAAUUAAUUAAUUGGGUUGCUCAGAUUAAUUAAUUCAAAAUUUAUUAAAUUAGAUUAAUUAAAUAUUGGACCGGAUUAAGUUUAAGAGACGGGCCAAAUCUACUUAGAAUUGUAUUAAUAGACUAUUAGGGUUUGUGAAAUCACAGCACAACAUAAUUAUAUUCUUGCUAAAAUUAGAAAAGAGAUCAUAGUUUUCUCAAUUUUGUUCCAUGUGUAUCCUUCCAUUGGAGGUUGGACAAUCGGACAGCUGUGGAUUACAGAUCGUGAUUGUAAGUGUUCAAGAUAAGCAAAAGCAUUUACAGAGUUCAACAAAGGUACAAUUCCUAUUACAAUUUCUAUCUGAAUAAAAAGCAGAUCCUUGUUGGGAAUUGAAAUUAUUUUAUUUUCCACCAUGCAUGAUUAAGUAAAUUCCCAACUGCAAUCCCAAAUCAUAUUUAGUAUUGGCAUCUAGCAUGCAAUAAGAAUUAGAUUAUAAGCAAAAAUAUUUCUUAGAAGUUCAAAACUAAUAUAUUUCUUGACAAACUAUGGCUUUUAUUAUGCUCAUUGGGAGUAUAAAGAUUGAAGCGAGUGAGUCUAAUAAGAGGAGUCCCAACCAUUGCAAUUGAACUUGAUCUUUUAUGAAUACAAAGCACAAGAUAUAGAUCUAAUGACAACCGAAAAAUCACAUGAAACCACCAAUUGGGAAUAUCUUUGUACAUCUUCACGAGUCUUAUGUGGAUAUCUAACUUUUCGUUGUAUGAAGCUUGAAAUUUCUCAUAAAUUUCCCAAAUUUAUUAGGUCUCCGUUUGAGCCCCAUUAUUUCUCAUUACAUUAAAUUAAAAUUUUCUCUCUCCUACUUUUAACCACACAAUUUUCAAUAAAAUAAUAUUACACGUAAAUCAAAAAAUUUUCAACCACUCAUUUUUCAAAGAAAUACUAUUCAUCCCAUUAUAAUCUACAAAUAAUGGGGCUCAAACGGGGGCGAGAUGAAUAGUUCAGCUAAAAGACUCAAUCUAAGUUAGAAGUCGACAUUAAUUUUAACAACAUAUUUUGUGGGACCCAGGACAUUUUCAAUGUCUCAUUCUAUUAAUUUGUAUUUUAUCUAAACCAAAAAUGGCCAAACCAUCAAAAAGAUUGAGCCAAUAAACCUGUCCCACCAUUCCUAAGGAAUGGAGUAAGGGGCAGCCUAUUGGAUAAUUUUUAUGGAUUCUAUCAUUUCACCAAUUCAUACUAUUGGAUUCUAUCAAUUCAACCAUUUCAUUUUACAAAGUUCAAUAUUAGCCAAAUUAGUCAACAUUUAUACGUAGAGCAAAAAAAAAAAAAAAAAAAAAAAAAAAAAGAGGAAGUCCCAUAAAGUAUACCGGAGGUGAAUCAGAGAGGUAGGAAGCCUUUGCUCCUCGCAACAUCCCUUUUGUAGGAGGAGGUUAUCAUAAUCAUAAUAUGGAGCUAAAAGCAACGAAUAGAAUAAGAACUUCAAACAGCCUUGAUCGGUUGUUAGUACCUAGAGAUGCGUACAUACCUAGUGAGCUUCUCCAUAGGAUAUUGCGCUACCAGACAAGAUGGCUAUGAUUUUCCUUAGCAACAAUAAAGAUAAGGAACUUGCAAAAUGGAUCUAUUUAUCAUAAAGAGAUUCGUCAUUCCUGACUUUUUUUUUUGGAUAAGGUAAGUGUAUUAUAUCCAAAGCAUAAAAAUAAAGUACAUAUCACAGGGGCAUACCCCAAGAAACUAGGCUAGGAAUAUGUCUCCUAACACCAAUAACAGAAUGCUAGAUUAGUGCUCAUAUCCUAACAACGAUAAUAAAAAAUAUCCGUAGAAAAACCCGAUGAACAUUGGAGCCAUCUAUUCUCGUUAAUUUGAACAAUCAAUCUCCACUUUCAUUCGUAAAGGGAAAGAAAUGACAAAAAAAAAAAAAAAGAAAAAGAAAAGAAAAGAAAAAGAAAAAAGAAUUGAUUGUUCAAGUACUGCAAAUUGCAUGGGAAAAGUAGCAAGGAGAGAAGAAAGACUAUUUACAUUCUUUUUAUUUUUCUAUCUGAAUUUUAGUUUCAUUUUCGGAACUAAAAAAGAAACCAUCGAUUUUUCCACAAUGCAUUUUACUGUUAUGAUUUUAGAUUUUUUUGUGAUCCGUAUGUAUCUAUCCAAACUUCUUUAGCAAAAGAUAAUACAAAUAGAAAAGUUAAAAACAUUCAUAGCCAAAGGGGUCGUGAAAAUUCUAAUUACAUUAAUGUCGGUCAUUACUCGGCAUCAAAGACAGUCGGCACAAAAGCAUAGGAGGAGUCAUAAUUCGAUCCAGCUCAAAAAGUGAGCCAAGAACUCCUCAGUGAGUGAGCAAUGGGUACGGUGCAUGAACGAAGGUUAGUGCUUGCAAAAUUUUUCUUUUCCUUAUCCAUUUACCAAUGGGCUGAAACCAAAGUUCAUAGUUGGAGGGGUCAUGAAAAUUCUAAUUACAGUAAUGUUGGUCAUUUAUUCGGCACAAAAGCAUAGGAGGAGCCGUAAUUCGAACCAACUCAAAGAGUGAGCCAAGACUCCUCAGUGAAUGAGCCAUGGGUAUGGUGCACGAACGAAGGUUGGUACCUGCAAAACUUCUCUUUUGCUUAUCCCUAUCCUGAUGGGCUAAAACCAAAGCUCUUAUUUUCUAUUUAGAAAUCCGUUGUCUUACUUAUUAUUUACUAUGGCUUUGAUUUAUUAUUACUUUAUUGAUUUUGAUCUUUUAGAAUUGGAUUUCAGGUUAGUAACUUCUAUUUUUUCCUUCCCUGACUAAUUCUACCAUAGAGGACAACUUAGAUAGGUAGAGAGCUAGGAAUUUCUUGAAUGAACCACACUCCAUAUACGUCAGGAGUUCAUUAAUGAUGAGCUGAAAUGGGUACUUUAUUCUUAAUAAUUACUUUUACCCUUGAAGGGGAUUUAGCGAGGCAAUGUUCCUUCACUCCAUCCUGCCAUUCAGUAUGAGCUAGUCAAAAUGGUAAAAUGAACCAAAGAUUAAUUUAUCUAUUGGGAGAAGUCACGAAUGAGCCCUACAAAUGAAAUAGAGAUUGAAAGAGUAAAUAUUCAUCCACGACUCGGAUAUUUAGUAUUCUGUUAUUUCUUACUUGUGCCUACUAUUUAAGUAGAAUACCGUCACCCAUUCUUACUAAGAAAUAGAAAAAAACCUCACAAAUGGAAGGUGGAAAGUGAGGAAGAAAGAGAUGUUGAGAACUAUUCUAGAUCUAGUCCAAGACGAACUAUUGUAGGGAGUUUAUCAAAACCAUUGAGUACGGAAUAUGGUAACCAAUAGGGCAAUCCAAUCUGGCAAUCCAUUAAUCGAACUAGUGGAGGAUUAUAAAUGGAUUGAUUUUUUUAUUUCCAUCGGAAAUUAGGAAUAGAUGGCUCUUUUCCUAUUUAAAGAUCAGCCCCUGGUUCUGUAUUUUCACAUUGAGAAUUAUUUGCAUCCAAAACUCAUCUAUUGAUUCUUCAACNAAGCACGUGAGCUUAUUAUCCAAGGUCAAAACAAGUUGAUAGGAUCCCCUUUUUUACGUCGACAUGUGUCGUGAGAUGACAUGUGGGCGAAAAAGGAAAGAGAGGGAUGGGGUUUCUCUUGCUUUUGGCGUAGAAGAAAAUGUUCUCUAUUGAUUUAAACACUGUACCUAUGGGAUGAUGACUUACUUUCCAUUAGACAUGCCACCAUGAGUGAGAAUAGCCACGACAGUUGCAAAAUUAAGAUAAUAUGAGAGAAACAAAUAGAUACUCAGGUAUAUUUGUCCUUGCUUCUCGUACGGUGCCAAGUCAAUCUCGAACUUUUCAUUUACAAUAGCUGAUACAUUGCACAUCUGGCCUUGAUGAUCAAAUAAAUGUGAGGAGAAUAGGGUAUAUGUUUUAGGGUUUUAAAGGUUCAAUCCCCAAUAGGCUACUAAAAUGAAAUAAGUAUAUAGAAAUAGCCUACAAAACACAUUUAAGAUGGCUAAGAAUGAAGUGACUAGAGGAAUUCAUAGAAAACAUGACAUGACAUACCAAUCCGUGAUGAAGGACGAUACAGAGGCCUUUCAUUCUUCAACCAAUUUUUUGGGUUGUUACUGGCUUGGGAAAUGCAUAGCAAAUCAACAAAAUGUACCGGUGAAAAUGUACCAAGAGAAGCUACAUACGGGUGAAAGAAAAAAGACCUUGUUUCUAUGGCUUUCUUUUUCAUGAAGUGACUUGCAGAAAUGUCAUCCAAACAAUCUCAGCUAGUAUAUAUACUAGUUUUCUUAUUUCUAUCUUACAUUGAUUCGAUAGAGUGGAAUUUUGUUCGAUAAGUAUUCUUUUUAGACAAAAGAAUUGCGAGAGUAACAUUGCUUAUUAGUAAAGGUGAUUGGAGUUGAAUUGAAAAGAUUAGUGUGUUUCAAUCAUGUUUCUAAUACCAUUUAAACUUGAUGUUUUGUUUAUCUUUAAUAGUUUUAGAAUGUUUUGAUGUGUGUUUUUGUGUUGUGUUAUAGGUUAAGUAUGUGGUGACAAAAAGUGAGUUUUGGAGUUGAACCAAUCAAAGGGUGAUUAUGACAUGAAUUGAGUCUCAAGAAGACUCGAAAAUAGGCAAAGAAAUAGGCUAGAUAAGCAUGAAAAUGAAGUAAAUAGGUAUUACCUCACUGUCACCCAGGCAUCUUCAGUAUGGCCAGCCAAUAGAAAAAUUACAGAUCUAUGGCACCCAGGAGCCAUAUUUGUAGUGCCUAGCCUCAGCAUAAAAGCAGCCGAAAAAAGAGAUAGAGAUUUGCCCUAGGCGCCACACUUCUAAUGCCCAGGCGCAACCUGGUUUCCAAUGCGGCUCUGCACCACAGCAUUAGGGUUGUUAUUAGGUUUGUAAAAAGCCCAACUAAUCCAAAAUCGAUAUGAAUGCUAAAGGAAUCUUAGCCCUCGUUUGGCCUCCAUUUUGUGGUAAUGAAAAUGGGUGGAAUAAUAUUUUUUUGAAAAAUGAGUAGUUGAAAAUGAAGAAUUUUUUUCGAUUUACGUGUAAUAUUAUUUGGAAGAUUGUAUUAUUGAAAAUAGGAGAGAGAAAAAUGAAAUGUAUAUUAAUGGGGACCAAACGUGGGCGGAGAUAUUUUACAACGGGUUGAAUGGUCAAACGUGGACGAAAGUUGAUGCUGCUUCAUAUGGAACCUUGAUUUCUAUUACUACAUAGAUGAUGCUUAUUUCUUACUGGAUGAAAUAGUCAGCAAAAGUUAUCAAUGACCAGGUGAACGUUGAAGUUUGAAAAGGGUUGUUGGUCUUAAUGUGGUGGAUAAUAUUACAGUUCAAAUGUCAUCGCUUACCAGCCAACUAGCUAUAUUGAAUGCAUAGAAAUUUAAUAGAAAGCAUAUUUGGCUAUGGCUUUUACAUCACACCAGGAAAUUGAGAUGGAGAAUGAGCAAGUCUAAUAUGUAAAUAGUAGAAAAUUCAAUCAAAGAGGAAAUUACUCAUACUAGAAUCUAAGGUUGAGAAAUAAUGAAAAUCUCUCGUAUGGUUACAAUUGGAUUGCGCUCCAACCUCUCCCCUAUGUUCAAUAAUCAAGCUUUUGAAGGAAAACCAACAUUAGAAAAUAUCUUAGGAACCUUUAUUCGCAGACAAGGGUAAGAUUCAACAAUGAUGCAUCACAAUUGGACAACAUUAAGACUCAUAUGACCAACAUGGGAGCCACAAUCUCUUGAGGUGCAGAUUGAGCAGUUAGCUACAACAAUAAAUUUUCAACCAAAAGGAAUGUUUCCAAGUGAUACAAAAGUGAAUUCAAAGGAACAUUUUGAGGCCAUCACAUUGAGGAGUGGUGAAGAACUUGAAGAGAGCAAGCUUAAAGAGACUAUGCUUUCUACACCUGAUUCCAAUCAAAGAAAGAAAAGUAUGUUCCAGAAUAGGAGAUUUAGGCAAAGGAAGAAAAAGAAAGUUCCUAACCCAAUUCAAUCUCAUUCCCAGAUAAUCCACCAAUCAUAAAACCAUCACCUUUUUCUCGACAGAGAUUCUGGAAAGUUUACCAAGUUCCCGGAUAUUUUGAAGAAGAUUCAUAUAAACAUUCCAUUUGCAGAUGGCUUGGAAUAAAUGCAAAAUUAUGCGAAGUUUAUGAAAUAGGUGAUGUCAAACUAGUAAAAAUUGGAGGAGUAUGAGACAGAAAAAUUUAGUGUUAUUCUUCAAAAGAAACUUCCUCAAAAGUUGAAGGAUCUGAGUAACUUCACAAUUCCUUGCACAAUUGGUGGUUCUUCCUUUGAUAAAGCACUACGUGAUCUUAGGGCUAGCGUCAACUGAUGUCUAUCUCUAUAUUCAAGAAGUUGGGUCUCGGGGAAGUGAAGCCAACGACCCUCACUUUGUAGAUUGCUGAUAGAUCUAUCACAUACCUAUAGGGGAUCAUUGAAGAUGUAUUGGUUAAAGUUGAUAAAUUCAUCUUUCCAGCUGAUUUUGUAGUACUGGACAUGGAGGAAGAUCAGAAGAUACCAUUUAAUUUUGCCAACCAUUUUUGGGAACUAGUAGAGCUCUGAUUGAUGUAUAGGGAGGACAAUUGAUGUUGCAGGUUAAUAAAGAGGUUUAUGUUCAUAUCAAGUCGUGACAUUUCCUAAAGACACCAAUACUUCUCAUAAGAUUGCAUUCAUUGAUUCUGUGGUAAGGGAAGAGGAUUUCAUUGAAGACCUUCUUGAGUAGUGUAUAACAAGUAUAUCAACUGCUAGAGGUUAUACAAGGAGCAAAAAAUUGGUUGAUUUUAUAUAGGCAAGAUGAAGCAUUGCCAAAUGAAAGUAAUCUGACAAAGAAGGAAGAUUAUUUAGCUACUUGCCAACACUGUUAAAUCCAAUGAGAAUCUGAGAACUAAACUUGAGUUAAAAUAACUUCCAAAUCACCUUCGCUAUGCAUUUUUGGAGGAAGAUUCUACAUCUCUAGUGAUUAUUUCUUCAUCAAUAACUAAAGAUGAAGAAGAAAAAUUGCUUUAGGUGCUGAAAGAACACAAGCCUUGGGUUGAUUUAUAACAGAUAUCUAAGAAAUUAGUCCAAUAGUUUACAUCCUUAUGGAGUAGUCCUACAUGCCAUCUAUUGAGUAACAAAGAAGAUUGAAUCUCAUAAGGAAAGAGGUGGUGAAAGCAGAGAUGUUGAAGUUGUUGAAAGCUGGGAUAAUAUUUGCUAUUUCAAGUAGUACAUGUGUGAGUCUUGUACAAGUGGUACCUAAAAAGGUGGGAUGAUAGUGGUCAAGAACGACAACAAUGAGUUGAUUCCUUCAAGAACGUAUCAUUGGUUGGAGGGUAUGUAUUGAUUACAAGAAGCUGAACAAGGCAACAAGAAAAGAUCACUUUCCACACCCCUUCAUUGAUAAGAUGCUGGAUCGUUUGCCUACUAUCAUUGUUGUUUCUUAGAUGGGUAUUCUGGGUAGAAUUAUGCUAUCUGUAUUGAAAGGGUGGUCUACAAGCAGUUCCAGAAAAUGAGUUAGAGGAAAAUGAUGGAAUGAAAAAGAUACCAUGUUUUAAAUUGUCCGAUAAUAGAGUGUCAUAUGAUAUUAUGUAAGCCUUGAUAUACAUGUAGUAAGAUCGUUCUAGGUUUUUAGAUUGCAAUAGUGUUUGAGGAUCAAGACUACAUUCACUUGCCCUUAUGGAACUUCUACUUUUUGAUGUACGUCGUUUGGCUUAUACAAUGCCUCAGCCAGCUUUCAGAUAUGCAUGAUAACAAUAUUUGCAAAUAUGUUGCAGAAGAUCAUGGAAUUUUUUUCUCUAUUUUUGGUACAUCUUUUGAGAGUUGGCUUUACAUACUUUCAAUGAUAUCACAAUUUCAUCAAAUAAUUAUCUCGUUUGGUCUUGAGAUGAACGUAGUUGAUGUGUGUAUAUAUAUCAAGUGGGAGUACGUACAUUUUCUGAUAUUGUAUGUCAAUGAAAUACUAAUAACUAAGAAACUUUUUCAAGAAAUAUUGAAAAGAAAGAUCUUCGUGGUGUCUCUUUUGUCUUAGGGAUAUGAAUAUGUCGGUACUGGUCUUGGGGGUGAUUUUUUGAAUUAUUAUAAAAACGCUAUAUCGACAAGGUUAUUACGAGAUUUGGGAUACAUGAUCAAACAAGGUGAUAUCCCUAUAGCUAAAGAGAGACAAGUUUAGUCUCAAUCAAUGCACUGAAGAUAAACUUAGAGAAAAUGAAAUUUAGAAAUUCACCGUGCUUUAGUAAUUGGGAGUUUAAUGCAUACUUAUUAGAUUUGCACACAUUCGGACAUAACAUAUAUUAUUGGAACGGUAUUAAUCCUCAGACAUGUGGCACAGUUUUAUUUUGAUGUUUUACAAGUUAAUUAGAAUUGUUUGACUCCGCCUAUGUAAGGCUUCAUUUACUAAACAAUAAACAACAAAUUAUAUGAAAAGAUUAAUUACAAAGUGAGUAUUCUCUUUCAAUUUUGUUAUUAGUUGAACUAUAUCGACCAAGAGGCAUACAAUCCUUCUAGCAUUGAUUUUUGAUUCAAUAUAUGAUUGGAUUAAGGUUCUUAAUCUAAUUUUAGUUUUCUUCAAAUCUUUUCAUAGGUUCUGAGGUACAUCCAGUAAAAGGGUUUACAUCAAUUGGUGAUCUGAGAAUCAUGGUGGGUUGAUUAGCAAGGAUUCUUUUCAUAUUCUAGAUGCACAAAUAACGAGAUCAAAGGCAAAAAAGAUUAAGGAAGAUUUUAAGUGCAACGAUCUAGACCUAAAGUUUUAAGGUGGGUGUGAAAGCAAAACCGUUUUGAUGUGAUCACAUGUAACAAUAUUAACUCUGAAACUCAUACAAGAUUGAAUUACAAGCCCAAGAAAGCUAAAAUCUCAAUUUGAAGCUUGACUCAUAAUUUAUUGAAUAAAGGGACUGAAGUUAUAAAAGAACUUGAUCUCUUAAUCACAAAAAUUAUGAAUUGUGCUACGAAAUUGAUGAAUAUCACGAAAUGAAGUCCUUGAUAAGUUCAAAAUUGAGUUCAAUGAUGAAACAAAAGAAAGCAACCUUCCUUUGAUUUAAUCUAUCAAUAAUGAAUUUAUUUACAAUGAAAGAAUAAGGCCAUAUAUAUAGGCAAUAACAUCAGUUGGUAUUAGAUGAUGAGAAUUAUGGCGGUCCAGCCAGUAAUCCUUCCUUUACAUGUUUCAUAUGGACCAAUAAGAAGAUUAAGAGGAAAGAUGUUUAGUGAAGCCAUUAUGGACUUGUCAAAAGUCACUAAGUUUCAAAAAGGGCUUCAAAGAAAGAACCACUGAGUGCAAUUGACUCAAGCUAAAGAAGAGUGAGCUGAUUUGAAAAGCAAUGCCCAGGCAAGGCUUUAGUUUCCUUGCACAAAGCUUCAAAAAUACACAAAUCGAGAGCAAAAGAUUGAACUGUGUCUGGAUGAAGAUUAAUAUCAUGCCAACUCAUGGUAUAAAUAUUCGACACGAAUUUCAGUUUUUCAUUUUUAUAAGAACCCUAUUUGUGUAGUUCUAUUUUAUACUUUACUGGUUAAUUAAGAUUGUUUGAGUAUUCAUUCUAAUAAACAAUACAUUAUUUUGUGAGAUUAGUAUAAAGUAAGGAUUCGCUUUCAAUCUUGUUUUUAACUAACUAUCAUGAACUUAUCAAAGAUUUCCAACAUUUGUGGCUUCAACCCUUGCAGCCUUGGUUCUUGAUUCAAGCAUUCAUUGGAUCAUGUAUGGGUUCUAAUUAAUAAUUAAUCUUGGUACUCUCUUCUUUUAUAGUUGCGUUGUUAACAUAAAUGCCAGAGCAAACUCCAAGGACUUAAACUUGGCCUAAUCAAUCCCUUUUUUUUUUAUUGAAGAUUGAAUUUCAGUUUUACAGCCAACAACACUUCUUUAUUAAUUGGAUCUGGUCUAGCUUUAGUAGGAAUACUCUCUUCAUCAAUCCGUUUGAUAUGGUUUAAAACAACUUUCUUUUUCCUGCCCAAAAAGCAUUAAGUCACCACAAAACUUCUGAAAAUAACUUAUUCUCUAUGAUCUUAAUUUUAUUCAAGACUUCUGGCUUAUUUAAUGCUGAAAAUCUUUAUUUCCUCUCUAAGUAAACUUAUUUGCAAAUUUUUUAAGCUUUGCAAUGUUUCCCAAAAGACUUUGUGGGAAUAAGUCAUUCUCUAACACAAUUUAGAUAAGCACCACUAUGUAUUAAAGCAGUUGUUCUGAUUGUGAACGAUUUAUUAAUUACGAAGGUAAUUUCUAACCCCCACUUUUGAAUAAUGACCUUUUGAAUAGCCCAUAAAAAUACUUCAUCUUCUAUUUUUUCUUAUUCUUCAGGGAGAGCUGCUUGACUAUUAGGUCAUGUAGGCUUUCCCCUCAGGGGUUUCAAUUAGAUUAAAAAGCUCCCUCAUAGUGAAAAUUUCUAUAAGAAGGUAUUGGAUUCUAAACUUUUUCUUCUUAGAGUAAAUGUUAAGGAUUUUUUUCUAUAACAUCUUUUUCUCUAUUGGAUCAAAAACUCGAACGACCAUUUGAAGAAGAAAUGUUUGAUCAUCCAAUAUAAUGUUAAUAAUCACUGGUUUGAAACUGCAAUAAAAUUAUAAGUCCUACAUAACGUAUUAUAAUUUGUAGUCCAUUCAUAUUUCUAAUUGCUUCGAUCGAUGCAUUUUAACAUAGUCCUCUGAAUUUUCUUUUCUUUCGGAAGAGCUAGUUGAAGAAUUAGUUGAAUAAAAAUAAUCCAACUCUCCUGACCUACUAAGUCUCUUAGUUAUUGCAAAACAGACGAACAUCAUCGAUAUCUAAGGCUUCAAUAUGAGAUAUUUUGAGCUUAAGGUCAUCAAUAGUUCUUGAAUUAUUUUAGACAUACAUUUGGAAGCAUAAUGCUGCAAUUUAUGACAUUUAUAGCCCUUGAUUUUGAAUAAGUUAUGAUUUCGCGGGAAUGUUUUUCUCUUUGAAUAUCUUCUUUUAGAGGAAUGGUUUUUCUAGGGAGUUAAUUUACUAUUAUUUCUCUUCUUUAUACUUUUCUCUAUUUAGUUUCUUUUUACCCUCCCUUUCUGUGGUACACUCUCUAUAAGUGUAUAGUUAAAUGUUAUUAAUUAGUUCUAUCUAAAGCGAGGAUUCUUUUUCUUAUCGUAUCACUAAAUAACUUUGGUAGCCCUACAAGAAAUUUUUUCCGUUCCAAAUAUUACUCGUCGCAUCUUCUCUAAGGUAAACUAAAGAAACUAAAGUAUUUUUAUACCAUCUAAAGUCAGCUCAUUGGCAGAAUCUUUUGAAAUUGAGAAAAAAAAAAUACAAGAAAAUUUUACCUAGAAGAGGAGGAACCUAAGGUUCAAGUUUCAAAAGUCUCACCUUAUAGAAAUGACAUAAUUAGAAACUAUUACCCUAGACCUUCACCGGUAUAGGAUAUGAGUGAGUGAGAGAGAGAGAGAGAGAGAGAGAUCAAAACGCUCAAAUUGUCUAUACCCCUAGCACUAUUUAUGAAUGGAAUAUGGAUGGACAGACUGAAUAUAUACUGUUAGUGAUACGCUACAAAGAAUGAUUCUUUGUGCUAGAAGACAUAAUAAUAUUCUAGUUACAACCCAAAUGCUUGUCCAAGGAUUUGAUUUAUAGGUCAACUUAAAGGCUGUUGGCAUAGGAUGCUAUGCCCACAAUAGAGACAAUAAACUCUCUAUGCCAUUGGCUCUUGGGACUUAUUGGAAGCCUAUUUGCUAACAAAGACAGUUGGAUGGGAUAUUGGUACAUCAUCUAGUUACUUACUAGAAAUGCUCUUAAAAUAUGAACUACAAGAAGAAACUAAAACCUACAUAAAAAAAAUUGCAUCUACUAAGUGUUAGAAAUAAAGAAAUAUGUAACAUAGGAAUGUUUAACUUAGUGCCCAUUUGGCUCUCAUUUUUUGGAAAUGAAAAAGGGUAGAAUAGUUUUUUUUUUUUUUUGAAAAAUAAGUGGUUGAAAAAGAAGGAAAAGUUUUCGAUUUACGUGAAAUGUUAUUUUAUGGAAGAUUGUGUGACCAAAAUAGGAGAGAUAAAAAUAGAAUGUAAUAGAAUUUCAAGUAAUUCAAAUGGGGGCAUAUAGUCAAGAAGGAUAAUUAAAGUUACUAAAAAAAAUCCCUAUUAUACAAAGAUUUGAAACCAUAAGGUUACUUGAUCUAGAUAUCGUAAAAUGGAGAGAAACAUAAAUUCUCACAUUAAUUAUUAGGUAAUGCACAAGUAGCCCUUAAACCUCUUGCUACAGAAGGAUUAAAUGCAUGUUUACUUGUAUGGCAUUUAAGAGAUUGCAGGCAUUUAAAAUUUAAUGACAGUUUACUUAGUUUAAUUAAAACCAGUUAUGUUAUAUGACAUUGUUUAUUUUACCGCUUUCCUAAUUUUUCUGUCUCUAAUGGAUCCGAAUCUAUUAGAUGAUUUAACAUUAAACAUCAAAUCUAAAGGAUGCGAAAUGAAAGCAUUAAGUGCACGUAUCGCUAUGAUCUAUGGAGUAUUUUUAUAAGGUUAUGAACAUUUUAGGCCCAAAUUCUAAGGCAACGUGCAAAAGGUUCCACAAUGAUGAUUGAGACCAACAUUUAUUAAUACUAGAACUAUCCUAACAAUGGUUUUUGGGAGUCACAAACCCUAUACUAGGGCCCUGUUUGGCCCCCAUUACGUGGAAAAAUUAAUGGGUGGAAUAGUGUUUUUUAAAAAAUGAGUGGUUGAAAAAGAAGGAAUUUUUUUUGAUUUAUGUGUAAUAUUAUUUUAUGGAAGAUUGUGUGGUUGAAAAUAGAAGAGAAAAAUAAAAUGUAAUGAAAUGAAACUUAAUGGGGACCAAACAAGGGCUAGAUAAGAAUCAAGAUGUAGAGCGAAAAUCUCAAUGGAUUAGUUGAAAUCUACUUUAAUAGAAGUGGAAGACAGGCAAAUUUAAACAUCUCUAAAUUUUAUUCAAAAACUAUGUCUAGGGCAAAUCAAUCAGUAAAUCACACCCUCUCCAUACGUCUAAUUCGUCUAUGCCCAAAUUUCUAGGGGUUAGAGGACUACCGCAUCUUCUUUACCCGAAAUUAUUUGGGUCAUAAAAUCUUUUUUCUAAUAGGUAGUAUGAAAAACCUCGACUCCUCAACCUCUUCAGAAAUGAACUUUUCAAUUAAUACUAUUUCAAGCCCAUCAUGGUUCAAAAAUAAUUAUUAAUUGGAAAAAAUCCGUAGAGAUUAUAUGAAAGAAAAAAAUCAAGCCUUUAGAGAACGGUUUUACAAAAAUCAUUCUUCUAUUGAAAAGAAAACUAUUCAGGAACAUUUUCACUCUUUCUUAGAAAAGAAUUCAAUUGUUAUACCUUUUAUAAGAUGGUUUAGUUUAAUAAGACCCCUAAUAGGUGCCAUAAAAAUUACGUCAAAACCUUUGGAAGAAAGAGACAAAAUUAUAUCUCCAGCAACUCCUAUGACUAUUAAGAGAGGUGAAUUUACUCUUGAAUCAAAUAGACCGUCUAAAUCAUUCAAAACCGAUGAUGUAAUUAAAACUAUAGACUUAAAUCCAAUACAAAAUAAUUAUGCAAAUCUCUAUCUUCAAUUCCCUUGCUAAAUAAUUAUAUGGAAUUGAAGAAAGAGAAAACGGAAUGUCCUGCUUCACCUUGAGAUUUAAAAACUGAGCAACUUGUAUUUAAACCCACUAUAAAACAUUUAGAACUAAAAAUGAAAACCACAUAGGAUGAUUUAAUUGAGGCCUUAAUUGCUCGAUUAAAAAGGAAAAGGUAAAAACGGUAUUAAAAAAAAUAUUAAAGAAAGUCAACACACUAACUAGAGAUAAUUCUAAAAAUUCUAAUUUUGAACCCUCUGAUGAUUCAAAAAAACUCAAUCAUUGUAGAAAAAAUUGAAAACCGAUUUCUUCCAAAUGAUUAUGAGAUAAUGUAGAUUCGAACAACCAUUCCUUAUAGGAAUACCGAGCUUAUAAAUUAUUAUCCCAGACCUUCCCUUGUUAAUAUAGGUUAUGAGGAAAAUGAUCUAUAUAUUCAAGCAUCUUACUCGAGUAGUACUAUAUAUGAAUGAAAUAUAGAUGGUGAUGAGGGCACGAGUACAAAUGGAAUGCAAAUCCUAUUCAAGUUCCAAUUGGCCUUGUUACUCUUGAGCUAAAAGGUUCAAGGAAACUCUCAAUGGGCUAAUUCAAGACAUUCAGACUAAGGUGAAUUCUUGGAGGCCCAAGGAAGAUGCUUCAUGUUUGCCACAAGGAUGAAUUUCCAUGAUUCAAGCUUUAGAAUAAUAGGAUCUCUUAAGUUCCGCAAGGAGAACAACUCAAGAUUGUUUGAAUUAAAGUUUAGUUUCCUAAAUUGGUGAAUUACACAAUUUUGGCCGGCUGCCAUUAAAAAAGCAAUCUUCUUAAUAUAGCUAAAUUAUCUUUCUUAUUUAUCAUUAAUUAUUUUGCUGAGUUGUAAGGCUUGCAUGCCAAUUUAGAUACAUUUAUUAUUUGAUGGUGGGAUAAGUGUUAUUUAAAAAGAUCCAUUAAGAAUCAAUUUCCAGCAUUGAACUUAAUAUAUUUAGUUUCCUUUCUGAGAUAUUUGUGAAUUCAUGGCAGCAUAUUUGGGAUUUUCCAGUUAUCAAAUUCGUGGACCACUUUGUAUCUAAAUAGCUAUUAAUGAAUAAAGAUUUCAUUAUGAAAUUUUGUGAGAGUAAAUUCUCUUUGGUUCUUUUAGACUCCUGAACUUAUUGGACUUUCACAUGGCAUUCCCUUGUCAACUUAUCAAUCAAUUGCUCCAUAAUUGAUUAUGGCAUUUUCCAAUAUAUCAUGAUUCUCGCAGUGUCAUCUAUACCUGUUCCUAGACAAUCUUGGAGUUUUCUUGAUACACCUUUCUUUCUCAGUUUCUUAGUUCGUAUCAUAACAUGUCGUAUCAGUACUUGAUUCUAGCUAUGGGUUUGCACAAAAAAAGAUAAUAAAAAAAUCAAAAAUAAAAUUGAGUGAAACACGUAAGGGAAAGUGGGAGAUUUAUUUAUUUAUUAUUAUUAUUAUUUUUUAGCAGCAAACAUGUUAGACAACACAUACUUCUGGAGAUGCUGUAGGAGAGGUUGAUCCAAAGUUUCUCAUGGAAGCUUUAAUUGGAUGAGAUGAGGAGCUUACUGAGAGCAGAGAUGGAACAAGUUCAUGAGCGGAUAGAUCAGGUAGACAAUGCAUGAGUGGGGGAAACUACAAAACACUCCUAAUGUGCAUAGAAGAGGGAGAGUUCAACCAAUGGAAGAGAGAGUUGAGGAUGUCGAGUAUUAUGGGGACGGUUUUGGUAAAGAAGAUGAUCAAAAUUCAAUUGUUAGCAAUUGGGGAUAUGGUGGUCGGGGUAGAGAAACUAGAAAUCAGGAGGAUAUUAACUUGGGUAGUAUUAAGAUGAAGAUUCCAUUGUUUCAAGGAACAAAGAUCCUGAAGCUUACCUUGAGUGGGAAAUGAAGAUAGAGUUAGUAUUUGAUUGUCAUAAUAUUCCAAGCUUAAAAAUGUUAAACUUGCUGCCAUUGAAUUUUUUGAUUAUGUGAUUGUUUGGUGGAGAUCAACUUGUGUUAAAUAGGAGGCAAAAUAGAGAGCACCCAGUAAAGACUUGGGAAGAGAUAAAACAGUGAUGAGGAGAUGGUUUGUUCCAAGCAUUACUGUCGUGAGUUGUACCAAAAAUUGAAAAGUCUUACAUAAGUAAUCAGAGUGUGGAGGAUUAUCAUAAGGAAAUGGAAUCACAAUAAUCCAAGCGAAUAUAGAGGAGGAUCGAGAGGCUACUAUGAUUAGGUUCUUGGUUGGUUUUAAUUGUGAAAUUUGCAAAUUCGGUGGAACUACAACAUUAUGUGGAGUUGAAAGAUAUGGUGCACAUGGCUAUCAAAAUUGAGAACCAACUUAAAAGGAGGGUUUAAUACAUGGCAAAACCCUAGCUCGGAUUCAUCUUGGAGCCGAAUUUUGUAAAGGAGGAGAACAAGCCACGGUCAAGCCCAAAACCGAGCAAAAGCAAGAAAUAUCCAGCUAUGGAAAUCAAGGUAAACUAAUUCUCCCUCCACUCGAAAUUGUGAUAUUAAGUGUUUUAAGUUCCAAGACCCCCACAUAGCGAGCCAAUGUAUGAAAAAAGAGUUAUGGUAUUGCGAGAUAAUGGUGAAGUUGAAACCGAGUGCGAAGAAGACACCGAAUCUAUGCCACCCUUGGAGGAUGCGGGUGGUGAGGAAUAUGCUGCCCAAGGAGAAUUCUUGGUUGCAAGGAGAGCUCUAAGUGUGCAGUUCAAAGAAGUUGUCAGAGUGCAGUGAGAAAACAUCUUUCAUACUAGAUGCCAUGUAUGCAAUUUGGUAUGUAGUGUGAUUAUUGAUGGAGAAUGUUGUAUUAACGUUGCUAACACUACAACGGUCGAGAAAUUAGGGCUGCCAACAAUUAAAAAUUCCCGGCCUUAUAAGUUGCAAUGGCUCAAUGAUAGUGGUGAGGUGAGGGUGAACAAAUAGGUGUUAGUUUUCUUCCGCAUUGGAAAAUAUGAAGAUGAAGUUUUGUGCCAUCUGGUUCCAAUAUAAGCUGGGCACUUGUUACUAAGAUGACCAUGGCAAUUUGAUCGGCAUGCCAAGCAGGAUAGCUUCACCAUUUACUCUUUUGCACUUAAUCAAGGGAUAAUUUCUCUAGUUCCUUUGAUGCCAAAGCAGGUUUAUGAAGAUCAAGUGAGGUAAAAAAAAAAAAAGAGAGGUUUCAAAGAAAGAAAGUGAGGAAAAGAAAACAAGGUGAAAACCAAAAAAAGAAAAUAAGGAAGGCCGAGAAAAUUGAUAGAGAAAACAAGAGAGCAAAUUUAUCCAUUGAGAGAAAGACAAAUUUCUAUGCAAAAGUGAGUGAAACAAAAGAACGAUGCUUCCAAAUCAGCCGGUGAUUAUACUUUUGUACAAAGAGGCAUUGAACACUAAAGAGCCUAAAGCAAGGACUAGUUCUGUUGUUUCUCUUUGUAGGAGGUUGAUGAUGUCUUUCCCGAGUCCCGAGGAGAUUCCACAUGGUUUACCCCUAUUCGAGGAACUGAACAUCAAAUCGAUUUUGUGCCCGGUUCUUCCAUUCCAAAUCGACUAGCUUAUCGAUGCAAUCCUGAAGAGACAAAUGAACUGCAAAAGCAGAUUAUUUAAUUGAUGGGAAUGGGAUAUAUAUGUGAGUAAAGCAUGAGUUCGACUUCUGAUGAUUUUGGUUUUUUAAAAGGAUGGGACGUGGAGAAUGUGCGUUGAUGGCCGAGUAGUCAACAAUAUAACAAUAAAUGAUCGACAUCCUAUUCCUCACAUAGAUGACCUGCUAGAUGAAUUGCUUUGUGGAUGUACUUAGAAAAGAGAAGUUAUUUGCUAACUAGAAGAAGUGCACCUUUUGCACCAAUAAGAUCGUGUUUCUUGGUUUUGUUGUAAGUGCAACAAGGAAUACGGGUUGAUGAUGAAAAGAUCCUCGUGAUUCAAGAAUGGCCAAGUUCCACGAGUGUAGACCAUGUUCAUAGUUUUCAUGGACUCGCUAGUUUUUACAAGAUGUUCGUGAAAAGACUUUAGCAAUAUCACUGUACCACUUACCGAAGUCAUCAAGAAGAAUGUUUGGUUUCAAAUGAGGAGACGAGCAAGAGAAGGCGUUCCAAUUAAUCAAGGAACAAUUAAGUCGUGCUUCUUUACCCCUUUUUUUCUUGAUUUUACUAACGCUUUUGAAAUUGAAUGCAAUGCUUUAGGUCUUUGUAUAGGUGCAGUUCUUAUGCAAGGAGGAAGACCAAUUGCAUAUUUGAGUGAGAAAUUAAGCCCCAUUUGACCCUUUUUUAAAUGAAAAUGGGUGAAAAGUUUUGGUUUGCGUGUAAUAUUAUUUUAUGGAAGAUUGUAUGGUUUAAAAUAGGAGAGAGAAAAAUGAAAUAGAAUUUAAUGGGGGCCAAAUGGGCUAAGUGGGGCAGCUUUAAACUACCCUGCUUAUGAUAAGGAAUUGCAUUCAUUAGUUUGAGCAUUGGAAACUUUGCAACACUACCUUUAGCCUAAGAAGUUCUUGAUUCACAUGAUCAUGAAUCCUCAAAACAUUUGAAAGGCCAACACAAGUUGAAUAGGAGGCAUGCACGAUGGGCAAAAUACAUUGAGGCAUUUCAAUAUGUUAUCCGAUACAAGCAAGGUAAGGAAAGUAUCGUGGCAGAUGCUCCUCCUCGAAAGUAGGUAUUAAUUUCUACUAUUGAUGCAAAAUCACUUGGUUUUGACCGCAUUAAAGAAUUGUAUCCUUAAGACCACAUAUUUUGUGAAGAGUUUUGGACUUAAGAAAAACGUAGCAAGUAAGAUUUUUAGAUGUGAGGGUUUCUUGUUUCAAUAGAACAAGUUGUUGUGUGGCGAAUUGAUUUUUGCAAGAAUUUUAAGUCAGGGAAUCCCAUGGUGUAGGUUUAAUGGGAUAAUUUGAAGCUAAGACCUUGGUUGUUUUACAAGAACAUUUCUAUUGACCCCAUAUAAAAAGGGAUGUUGAGAGAAGUUGUGGUAGAUGUGCAUAUGUAGGCGAGCAAAAUCAUGCCCCCAUGGUUUAGACACGCCACUGCCCAUUCCUAGUGAGCCUUGGAUCAAUAUUUCAAUGGACUUUUGUGUUAGGUUUUACCUGGGUCUAAAUGUGGUUGAGAUUCAAUUUUUGUGGUUGUGGAUAGAUUUUCUAAGAUAGCACAUUUUAUUCCAUGUCACAAAACCGUUGAUGCUUCCCAUAUUGCUAUUGUUCUUUAGAGAAAUUGUACGAUUAUAUGCCUAGAACAAUAGUCACGAAAGAGAUGCUAAGUUCAAGAAUUACUUUUGGAAGAUUUGUGGUCGAGGCUAGGGACUAAGCUAUUAUUUUCUACUACUUCUCACCCAAAAAUUGAUGGUCACACCAAACGAAUAGGACUUUGUCUAUUCUUUGAGGGUUACAAGAAGAGAAGAAUUGAGAGCAGUAGAAAGUUAGUUUUUAUCAAAAAAUCAAAGGUUGAAUAUUACAAUAACUAAGCCCUCUAUUCUAAAAUCAAAAUAACUUCUAAUAAGCUAGAACUUUAUAUCGAAUUAUUAAAACUAAUACAAUCUAAUUAAAAAAAAUAUACUUUGAAUUAAAAUCUAGUUUAACAUCCUAUCUAUCUUCCAUUUCUAUUCUAUCUCUAUCUCUAUCUCCAUCUCCAUCAUAAUGGCUCAGCAAACGGAGGAUCGGGAGGAAAAUGCAGAAAUUACUAGACUCUUGUACAACUGUACUUCGGGUUUGGGAUAAAUCAAAUGAAUGAGAGACUCCUUUAGGGAUGAAGGGAGAAUAAAUGAACCUCACUUUCAAAGUCUUACCUUGCUCAGUGAAGCCUCCAGUAUGUUUCUGCUUCUUGAGAUUUUCAAAACACUGCUGGACCAAAGCCAUCAUGGCACCAACUCCUAAAACCAGUCAUGAAAUGGAUAACUCCUAAAAGGAAAACCGAAGUUCAUGGUUUAGCCAGUUUUUAUAGGCAUUUUGAUAAAAAAUUUGGCACAACUGCCAUACCACUCACUGAGAUUGUGUAAAAGAGUGUGGGAUUCCAUUGGGGCAUUGAAUAACAACAUGUAUUUAAUACUAUUAAGGAUAGACUAUGUUCUUCACCUAUUUUAGCACUACUCAUUUAAAAAAAAAUUAAGAUUGAAUGUGAUGCCUCAGAUAUAGAUUAUGGAGUUGUUUUAAUGCAGGAUAGGAGACAAAUAGCUUAUUUCAGUGAAAAAUAUUUUAGUACCUUAUAUGAUGCCGAUGGAAACUAAUUUUUGACUAUGUCAUAUUAUAAGGAGUUUCCACUUUACAUUAAGCCCCUGUUUGAUCCUCAUUAAAUUAAAUUACAUUACAUUCCAUUUUUCUCUCUCCUAUUUUCAACUACACAAUCUUCUAUAAAAUAAUAUUACACUUAAAUCGAAAAAUUUUCCUUCUUUUUCAACCACUCAUUUUUCUAAAAAAUACUAUUCUCCCCAUUUUCAUUUUCUGGUAAUGGGGAUCAAACAGGGGCUAAAAUUUGAUGAAGUUUCGAGGUUGAUAGUUAUGCAAACAAAUUUAUUUUGAUAAUUACCAUUUGAGGUAAAAACUGAAACACUAAUAUUACUUUUAAAGUUUGCCAAAUUUCACGUCAAUAGUGGUUACAUGCAUAUAUGGUAUGAUACAUAUACGGUAUGCUGUAAAUAAGAUAUGAUGUAAAUACCGUAUGAUAUAAAUACGGUAUGAUGCAAAUAUAGUAUGCUGAAAAUAUGGUAUGUUGCAUAUACAGUAUGCAUUAAUGCAACAUGUAAAGUGGAUAUACGAUAUGGAUGAAUUUUAUUUUUUUUGAAAUUGUUUUCUUAUAGUAUUAAAUUUUAAAAAAAAUUAAAUCUUUAUAUCUUCCACUAAAAAUAUAGUUAAAUAAAUUUAGGACUAAAUUACAGUUAAUCUCGUGACGUUUUGAUCCAUGCAGGUUGGGACGUUAAAGCAUGGUAGGAUCAAACCUAUGGGACGUUAACCAAAAGUAGAUACUUUUCCAUGUAAAAUACUUUUUAAAGUUAGCAUAAAGUUUUUCAGCUUCAAGACUACUACUCUAUAUGCUCAUCUAAGUUUUUAUUAUAAACUAGAAUAUCAUUGAAGUAAAUUACUACGAAUUUAGCUAUGAAUAUACACAAAACAUGGUUCAUUAAUAUCAUGAAAGUGCUAGGGCACAUUAAUAAGUCGAAAUAUAGUAACUAUUUCAUACAAUCCAUAUUUAGUCUUAAAAGCAGUCUUCAAUUAUCUUUUUCUCUCAUCCUAAUUUGAUGAUGUCCAUUUUUAAGAUCUAUUUUACUAAAUAAACAUGAUCCAUAUAGUUCAUCAAGCAUAUCAUCUAACCUACGUUUGAGAUAACGAUAAUAUACCGUUACAUUGUUGAUUGCACUGCAGUCAAUGUACAUUCUCCAAGUCUCAUCCUUUUUAGGUACAAGUAGCAUUCAUGCGGCACAUGAACUCAUGCUUUUCCUCACAUGCCCUUUGCUCAUCAAUUCUUGCAAUUGCCUUUGAACCUCCUUUGUCUCAUCAGGAGUACUUCUAUAACCUAGCAGAUUUGAAAUCAGCUCCAGGGGCACACAAACAAUCUGAUACUUAAUGCCCCAAACGGGUGGUAAUUUAUUAUGCACUUUUGUAGGGAACAAGUCUUCAAAUUCUUGCAACAAAGAAAUAGCCAAAUUGGGGAGCAUUGGAGAGUUUCUUCAUUAUUAAGGUAUGAUUCCUUGUAGACUAGCAAUAUCAAAAGCUGGUCUCCCAUUAGGGUCCCUCUUUGGUUCAAUCUCUUAUGCAUAGAAACUUACUUUUCAAUUUUUUCCUCCUUGAAGACUCUCUUUAAUUUCUCUCUUGUGGCCCCACUAUUUUCGCUUUAUUUUCAGCCAUCUUGCUAUUUUCUCUUUUCUUUGUAUUAUCAGUGUCACUCUCCCUUCCCCUCUCUUUAUUUUUCUUCUCUUCCUCGCUUCCCAAUUUCAAUUGAUCUUCAUAGCCUUCAUCACUACUGCCUUGGCAACCAAACACAUUUUGGUCUUAAUGGAACAAGAGUAAUAGAUUUCCCAUCUUUGACAGAGCGGUACCUAUUUUUGUAUCUGUCAUGUAUCACUUUCUUAUCAUACUGCCACGGCAUCCCCAUCAAGAUAAGCUUAGCAUGCAUAGGAACCACUUAUACAUCACCUCAUCACUUAACUUCCCAAUGUAAAGCUCACCAAGACUUACUUGCCUACAAAACCCUAAACCUCUCCACAUUCAAUGAAUUACUCCAACCUAUAGAGUCUAGGAUGUUUUAGCAUAGUCAAACCCAAUUUUUCUAAAAGGGACCAACAACAUUGUUACAACUCUUCCCAUCAAUAAUCAUACUACAAACGAUGUUGUUGACGUGGCAACUAGUAUGAAAGAUGGUUUCCCUUUGCUGCUCCGUAUCAUCCACCUUGAUUAGUGUACUAAGACUUGCCUCGUGACAUGUGUUUCACCUAUCAAUGGGUACUCUACACCAUCACCAUCACUAGUAAUCUCCAAUUCGGACAUCUCAUCACUAUUGCUAUCACUCACCACUUUCCUGUUAUCACGCAAGAUCAUUGGCCCUUUUGUUUGGGCAUUAAGGUUGGAAGUCCGCCUUGGGUGUUUUAUUUUACUAGCUAUUUUCCUUUCACCCUUGGUUGUUCAGUAUUGACCUUUGAAAUAGUCCAUCACCUCUAUUACUAUCCAACUUCUAUUUGUUUACUAGUUGAUCCCACCAUACAAUUGCAUAAUUAGUAAACUCUAUAACUGCUAAUUUCACCUUUUUCUUCUCAUAAUAUUUGUGGCAAUAAAAAAUCAACUCCAACUUCUUUCUCACUCCACAUACACAUCUGGAUCAUUUUGACCCAUCUUAAUGCUACUCAAAUUCCGAUCAACCCUAUCUCCACCAAAGUCUAUAGAAUUUCCUCUAGACCCCCUUUCAUGCUGAUCCCCUCUAUUUCUCAUUGUAACCAUUUCGUUCUUCGAUAAUUUGAUCAUCUUCAUUCUCACUAUCCAAUUCAUUUUCAUCAUAAAAUUCAACUCUUGAGGAUCAAGCCUAUCUUGCUUAGGACAUUAGGAACUCCUCUAGGGUGGCCCCUUUGUAAGUUUACAAUCAUUGUAUCCUUUCGAUCCAUUCUAUCUCUAUUGUCUCCAAAUGCUGCAUUCAUUCUCUCGAGUUGUUGUUGCCUGGCUUUCAUCAUGAGUGCUUGACUAUUUCGAGCUAGAUAAUGUUUUUUUCUUUAUCAGACACCCUGAUAACUAGAAGUUAUAUGCCUCAGGUGUUUGCACUUGUAUGGCUUUAUUCUUCUAAUAAUAUCAUCACUAGUCUUUCCUUUUUCCUCUAAGUGCUUUCUUUCAAUUUCUCUAAGGAUCUAAUUGAUCUCAAUAAUUUUUUUAUGAGGUUUGAAUGGAAAGAAUGACUUGGGAAAAAUGACCCAAGAAAGCAUCGAAUAAAUAAAGGAAUUGAAUGAAAAACACAGCCAUGAAUUUCAAAAAAGUGGUACUUCAAGUUGAUUUAUGCCUUUUCACAACGAAAUUGCACUUCAAAAGUUUUCAAAAAAGUGUUUCUUAGAAUGGAUUGGUUUGGAAUUUUCUUUUUCAAUUUGCUAGAACUUUUUUGGGAUUUUCAUUUUUUGGACACUAAUUAUGCAGACAAUCAACAAAGGCAAGAAAAACUAAAAAAACAAAUGGAAUUGGUGCACUAAAUUUAAUUGUACAGAACAAUUCUUGAAUGCUGUUGAUAUUUGUAUUAAUGAAAAAGACUCAAGAAGAUGAUGACGAUGGAGAAUCGACGAAAAAGAUGAAGGCUCAUAGAUGGGAAUUAGAAAAAAUGGGGAAAAAUAAAGAUAACCUUGAUUUUAGAGCCAAAGCUUUGAUACUAACUGAUGUGAACCACGUAACAAUAUUAGUUUUGAACCACAAACAAGAGUGAAUGAGUUGCCCAAAUAAAGGUAAAAUCCCACUUUCAAGCUUAAACAAAUAAUUUAUCGAAUCAAGGAACCAAGGUUAUAAAGAAACUUGACCUCUUAAUCCCAAUAAUUAUGAACCUUGCUAUGAAAUUACUGAAUACCACAAAGAGGAAUUCCUUGUUAAGUUCGAAAUUGAGUUUAAUGAAGAUCAAGAAGAAAACAACCUUGCUUUUGAUUUAAUCCCUCGACAAUGACUUAAGUUACAAUUAAAGAAUGCGGCUAUAUAGGCAAUAACACAGAAAUCCUAAAUAACUUGUAAAACGUCAAUAAAAUAUCAGAAAAAAAGGUUCUAAAUCAGAAAAGAAAAAUUAGUAGCCUUCAGAUUUUUUGUGCUAUGAGAGCGCACUGUGUGUUUUCUCAUGCUCGUGUAGUUAAUUAAUUUGGCUAUGGGUUGAAAUUUUGCUUCCAGGCAUGCGUGGCAUAUUUUGCCAACGUGCACACCCUUUCCGACUACACUUCAGGCUUUGCUACUUCUAACUUACUUUUAAUAAAUGCACUAAGGUUGGUUCUUCGUUUAUGCCCAUUUAGAAACUUUGUACGUUACUCAUUGCACUCGACCUCUUGGGCCACGUAGUUUGGACAAAUAAUCCAUGACUUCUUUAAUCUUCUUUGCUCAUUCAUUGGUGUCCUCCUUCCACAUUUAACAGUUCAUUGCUUAUCAUUUGUUUCAUGGUUUUCAUCAAAAGGCUCCUUAUAUUGGAGAUUCUGGACUUCACUCAGUUCUCCAUAUUGAAUUGAUUUGCAUAAGUUAAGAGGUCAUCGCAUGGAGUCUUCCUAGAAUUCUACAAUCCUCUUGUUUUUAUCACAUCUUGUAGAACCCCAAAUAAUUCUAGACACCUUAGUGGCACUAUGACAUGAAUAUUGAAUGACUAAAGUAAACUUCAGAUUUUUAGUCUCAUUUGAGACCCAUUUUCGACAUAGGAAACAUUCGAUUUGGAAAAUGAUAUCUAAAUAAAAUUGUAGCCCUUUGAGUUAGCUUUCCAAUGCACUUUGAAUUACCUUAAUCGAAUUACGGGAGAAGAAGUUAUGAUAGAAACAUUGAAGGUUGUACAGUGUCAACCGGACUACAACCGGUCGACCGAAACAGCCUGAAAUGAAAAUUCUUAUUUUUCUCUAGAUUUUAAAUAUUUAUUUUCAUCAAUUAUUUUCUCAAAGGGCCACCCACGUUUUUGGCAAUAAAAACCCCACUAAAUUGAAGCAUUUAACAUCAAGCUUAAAUGGCACUCAUAUUUUCUCUUUUAAAUGAAAUUUGACCCUUCAUUUGCUUUAAGUUAUGGGAAAUUUACCUAUAAAUAGAGACCUUAUUUCACUCAUUUUUUUCUCACACCAAAAGUAAGAGUUUUUACAUAUUAAAGAAAGAGUUUCCAAGAGAGAAAAAUAGAGGGAGGAAAACCAUUUUUCCUAGAAGUUUAAGAAGUAUUUUCAAGCAUCAAUUCUCAAAGGUUUUCAAACAUCCAAGGAGUGCAUUUCUUUUAACGUCCAAGUUUCAUCGAAGUUUUCAAUCCAAGUUUUAAAAGUUUCAAAAGCAUCAAUCAAGGUAGGUAGAGGUGCAAUGUGUUUAAUCGUGUCAAGUUAUAAGUUUCGAUUCAUGUUAAUGCUUGUAUGUCAAAUGGUACUUCGGUACGGCAUAUCCCUCUAUGUUAAUGGUUAUAUGUCAAAUGGUACUCUGGUAUGGCAUACCCUUCUAUGUUGAAGAAAUGUUCGUAUGUCAAAUGGUGCCCUCGGGUACGGCAUACCCCUUCAUUUCAAAUAGUGCCUCCGGGUACGGCAUGUAUGAAAAGUUAUAAAGUUAAUAUUUUGAAAUGUAUAACUUGAUCACGAAUGCACCUAUGACACCUAAUGAGUUUUUCAACUCAUGGGUUUAAUCCCAUCUUUACAGAUUGAAGGAAUUCUACCUCGGGCAUGGAUGGAGGAGAAGAUGGAGAGUAAUGCAACGAGCCCAUGGAAAUCCGAUGAAUAAGCAAUUUGGAUUUAUUUUUAUGAAAUGUUUUCCAAUGUUAUUUCUUUAAGGUUUUGAAUAACGCAAAAUGCGAGAACAAAUUAUGUUUUCUUCAAAUAAAUUACAUUUUGCUGUUUUGAAAAAUGAUUCAGUGUUUUUGUUUAAAGUAUUUGAAGUAUUGUUAUUUAAAUUAUUAUCUGAAGAUGUAAGCUUCCACUAAAACGUAUACACUUGUUACUAAACCAUCGGUUAAGCUAAGUAAAGUAAGUAGCGUUCCGAUCCACUAGGGGUUGGGGCGUUACAGCGUGGUAUCAGAGCAAGGUUUAGCCGGUUCUGUAGACCAAGUAUUUUUUUUUAAAAAAACAAAAGGAAAAUGAAAAGUUUAAGGUAUUCCAUGACAUCGUGCAUCCAUCCAUCAAUCUCAUCCUAUGGCCCAGAUAUGUUCAUGUUUAAAGUUAAUGAUUAUGCUUAUGUUAUGAUACUUUGAUAUGAUUUAGAGAUGUGUUAUUUAAAGAUAUGUAAUAGACUUGGGCAAAAGCUAAGGGCUUAAAGGGAAUUGCGUGAUAUGAAAGUUUAAAUAUUUGUAUAUUUUCUUUAAGCAAAGAUAAAGUAUGAUGUAUGUGAAAAUGCAACAGAUAUGGCCGUAGAACGGUUAGGGCAUAUAACGAAGUAUUGAACCGUAGAAUUGCUAUUCAUUCCUAUGAAAACUAUGUAACUGAUCCGACCCAACCGCUUAGCGAACAUGUGUAUGACAACUAUGAGAGAUGUAUGAUGGCGAUUAAUGCUGGAAUGGAGAUCGCGCAUAUCGAGGCCGUAAAUAACCUCACACACUCCCUCCCACCUCAAUGGGAAGAUAUGGGAGUCACGGUUAAAGAUGAAAUGUUAGAAGGCAACUCAAACCUGUUUGAGUUUGAGAGGUAUUGCCAUGCCCUGAUUGAUUUGUAGGAUGACGUAAUCCAUGAGGAGCCUGAGAAGGAACCUUUGGCUGAGGAAGAAUAUCCCGAAGAAGAACCCGAGGAUGAUUUAGAGAAUUAUCCUGAGCCUGAGCCACAGGUUGAGAUGGACAUAAAGUCCAGACCUGAGGCAGAAGACUCCUCUGAAGAUGAAGCUCCACCAAAGAAGAUCCGUAGAACUUAUAGGGAUUAGAUUUAAAUCCUUGUAAUAGCUUCCCUUAUGUUAAGAAAUAAAAUACUAUCUUCUUUGCUUUAGUAUUCGAAGAAUGAAACUAAUAAGAAUCAUAUGUUUUGUCUAAAGGAAAUGACCCGCGCAAACCAAAACUUGAUAAGAGACCUCCUCCGAGCGGUUCAAGACCUAGGUAGACAAAACCCGAACCAAGCUCAACCCCUAUCACUAGCUCCUAAUAUUCCAAACCAUGCUUCAGUGGUCGAACAAUUUCGAAGGCACAAACCCCCUACCUUCAACGGAGCAGCUGAUCCACUUGCAGCGUAUAUUCCGAUUGAUAGGGUGCACGGACGCUCAAAAAGUCCAGUGUGCUGAGUUCAUGUUCUCCGGUGAUGCAAGUCACUGGUGGGACUCAAUGUUGAGGACAAGGACCCCUGAGCAACAAGCAAAAUUGACUUGGGAGCAAUUCAAGGGGAAAGUAAUGGACAAGUACUUUCCCAGUCCUUGAGGGAUCACAAAAAAAGUGAAUCCUCCAACUCAAGCAAAAUACUAUGUCCCUAACUGAGUAUGAGAGAAAGUUUGAUCAACUUUCAAGGUAUACUCCACAUCUGGUGGAUACGGGAGAUAAGAAGGUACAUUAGAAGUUAGUAUUCCUUCGGGCAACCCUUUGAAUACUGAUAGAAUAGUCAAGUCAAUAAGUAUCAAAGUUGAGGAAAAACCAAUGGAAGCGAACCUAUACAUGAUAGAAAUGAAGGAUUUUAAUGUAAUACUAGGCAUGGAUUAGUUAGCCACCAUCCGAUGUAAGGAAAUGGAAGUAUCAUUUCAGAAACCAAGAGAAGAACCAUUUUCGUUCCUUGGAAUGAAGACAAAACCCCUUAUUCGACUAGUAUAGGCUUUACAAGCUGAGAAGAUGUUGAGAAAAGAAACAUGUCAAGAAUAUCUAGUAAGUAUCUCAGGAGGGAAAUAAGAGACGAUAAGGGUUGAAGAUGUACCAUUAGUACGGGAAUUCGUAGAUGUAUUUUCAAAAGAUCUAUUUGGUAUUCCACCCGAUAGACAAGUGGAAUUCACCAUAGACCUAAUUCCAGGGGCGACACUAGUAUCUAAGGCCCCAUACCGAAUGGCCCCAAAGGAACUAUAAGAAUUAAAGAAGCAGUUGCAAGAACUUCUAGAUAUGGGCUUCAUACGAUCAAGCGUAUCUCCAUGAGGUGCACCGGUGUUGUUUGUAAAGAAUAAAGAUGGAAGCAUGAGGAUGUGCAUUGAUUAUAGGGAGAUAAAUCGAUUAACCAUCAAGAAUAAGUAUCCACUCCCGAGGAUCGAGGAUCUGUUAGAUCAACUGAAAGGAGCUAAGGUAUUUUCCAAGAUCGACUUACGAUCGGGAUACCAUCAACUGGAAGUAGAGACAAAGGAUAUACCUAAUACAGCUUUUAGAACUCGAUAUGGACUGUUUACGGUGAUGCCGUUUGAGCUAACCAAUGCACCUGUAGUGUUCAUGGACCUGAUGAAUCGAGUGUUUCAUCAAUACUUGGAUAAGUUUGUCAUAGCGUUCAUCGAUGACAUUCUAAUAUAUUCCAAGAGUAAGGAGCAACAUGAAGAGCACUUGAGAAUAGCCUUAGAGGUAUUACGCAAGGAGGAGCUGUAUGCCAAAUUCAAGAAGUGUGAGUUUUGGCUUGAACGAGUUGGAUUUUUUGGACAUGUAGUUACUGCCCAAGGGAUUGAAGUAGAUCCAGUAAAAGUAGAAGUAGUAAACAACUGGAAAACACCAACAAAUGCUGGCGCAGUACGGAGUUUUCUAGGAUUGGCUGGAUAUUAUAGGAGAUUAAUAGAAGGAUUCUCCAAAAUAGCUGAACCAAUGAUGCAGCUUACAAGGAAGGGAGUAAAAUUCCAAUGGACGAAAAAAUGCGAACAAAGUUUCCAAGAACUUAAGCAGAAGUUGAUAUCAGCACUUAUAUUAACAAUACCUGAAGGUACGGAAGGGUUUGUUAUAUACAGCGACGCAUCCAAGCGAGGAUUGGGAUGUGUACUAAUGCAAAAUGGAAAAGUGAUAGCCUAUGCGUCAAAACAAUUGAAGAACACAUGAGCAGAACUACCCGACGCAUGAUUUAGAACUUGCAGCAUUAGUACACGCUUUGAAGAUAUGACGACACUACUUGUAUGGAUGGAAGUGUGAUAUCUACACAGAUCACAAAAAGUCUCAAGUAUUUUUUCACACAGAAGGAAUUGAAUAUGCGACAAAGACGAUGGUUGGAAUUGGUGAACGAUUACGACUGCACUAUUCACUACCAUCCGGGUAAGGCUAAUGUUGUGGCCGAUGCUCUAAGUAGAAAAUCAAUGGGACAAUUGAUGUCACUACCCACCUCUCAAGUGGAGUUAAUCAAGGACUUGAAAAAGUAGCAGAUUAAAGCGGUUACCACACCAGGACAAGUCAUUGCUCGUCUAGCAGCUUUAAUAAUUUGACCUACUCUUAGAGAUCGAAUUAAAGAAGCAUAAAAUAAAGACUCAUUUUGCAGAAAAUUAAGAAUGAAUUUGGUACCAAUAAGAAAAAGGACUUUGGAAUAGCUGAGGAUCAGGCACUGAUAUUUAGAGGAAGAAUUUACGUGCCUAAGGAUGAAGACUUGAGAAACGAGAUAUUAAAAGAAGCUCAUUCCACCCCCAUACACCGCACAUCCCGGUGGUACGAAAAUAUAUCGAGAUUUUUGAGAUACAUUUUGGUGGAGAAAUAUGAAAAAAAGUAUAGGGCUGUACGUGCAGAAGUGCAUGGUAUGUCAACAGGUUAAGGCAAAAUACCAAAAACCAGCUAGAUUGUUAAAUCCACUAGAUAUACCUGAAUGGAAAUGGGAAAAUAUCACGAUGGACUUUGUGGUUGGAUUCCCGAAGUCAGCAAGAGGAAAUAAUGCUAUAUGGGUAGUACUGGAUCGACUAACGAAGUCAGCUUAUUUUCUUCCAGUGAAAAUGACAUUCAGCUUAGACCAAUUGGCACAGUUGUACAUUAAAGAGGUUGUGAGAUUACACGGUAUACCUGUAUCCAUUGUGUCUGACAAAGACCCAAGGUUCACGUCCAAACUUUGGAAAAGUCUACAAGGAGCUAUGGGAAUGAAACUGAACUUUAGUACAGCAUAUCACCCUCAGUCCGAUGGUCAGUCUGAAAGGACCAUCCAAACUUUGGAAGAUGCUGAGAACAUGUGUUUUGGAUCUAGGAGGCAAUUGGGAGUCAUACUUACCUCUAAUAGAGUUCGCUUAUAAUAACAGUUUCCAAGCAACUAUUGGAAUGGCACCAUACGAAGCUCUCUAUGAUAGAAGAUGUAGAUCCCCUGUUCAUUGGGAUGAAGUCGGAGAGAAGAGAGUUUUGGGACCAGAAAUGGUUGAAAGGACGGUCGAGGUAAUCGAUAAGAUCCGUGCAAGAAUAACGGUAGCACAGGAUCGACAAAAGAUCUAUGCAGAUACAAGGAGGAAGGAUUUAGAAUUUGAAGUUGGGGAUAAAGUGUUUCUGAAAGUAGCACCGAUGAAAGGUGUACCUAGAUUUAGAAAGAAAGGCAAGCUACGACCCCGGUAUAUCAGACCUUUCGAGAUACUUGAUAGAGUCGAAAAUGUGGCUUACCGACUAGCUUUGCCACCUGAAUUAUCGGCAGUAUACAAUGUGUUCCAUAUUUAUGAUAAAGAAGUAUGUACAUGAUCCUAAUCAUGUAGUGAGUUAUCAAACCUUGUAGGUACAGAAAGAUUUGUCGUACGAGGAACUACCGAUCAAGAUAUUGGAUCGAAAAGUGCAUAAACUAAGGAAUAAAGAGAUUCAACUGGUUAAGAUACAGUGGAAUCAUCACGGCGUAGAAGAAGCCACUUGGAAAAAAGAAGAAGAAGCCAAAGACAAUUAUCCAACACUAUUCGCCCAAUCAGAAGGUAAAUUUCGAGGAGAAAAUUUUAAUUAAGGUGUGGGGGAUGUAGAACCCCAAAUAAUUCUAGACACCUUAGUGGCACUAAGACAUGAAUAUUGGAUGACUAAAAUAUACUUCAGAUUUUUAGUCUCAUUUGAGACCCAUUUUCGAUAUAGGAAACAUUCAAUUUGGAAAAUGAUAUCUAAAUAAAAGUUGUAGCUCUUUGAGUUAGCUUUCCAAUACACUUUGAAUUACCUCAAUCGGAUAUCGAAAGAAGUUAUGAUAGAAACACUGAAAACUGUGCAAUGUCAACCGAACUACAACCGGUCGACCGAAACUGCCUGAAAUGAAAAUUCUCGUUUUUCUCUAGAAUUUAAAUAUUUAUUUUUAUCAAUUAUUUUCUCAAAGGGCCACCCACGUUUUUGGCAAUAAAAGCCCCACAAAAUUGAAGCAUUUAACCUCAAACUUAAAUGACACCUAUAUUUUCUCUCUUAAAUGAAAUUUGACCCUUUAUUGGCUUUAAGUUAUGGGAAUACCUAUAAAUAGAGACCUCAUUUCACUCAUUUUUUCUCACACCAAAAGCAAGAGUUUUUACAUACUAAAGAAAGAGUUUUCAAGAGAGAAAAAAAGAGGGAGGAAAACUAUUUUUUCUAGAAGUUUAAGAAGUGUUUUCAAGCAUCAAUUCUCAACUGUUUUCAAACAUUCAAGGAGUGCAUUUCUUUCAACGUCCAAGUUUCAUCGAAAUUUUCAAUCUAAGUUUUCAAAGUUUCAAAAGCAUCAAUCAAGGUAGGUAGAGGUGCAAUGUGUUUAAUCGUGUGAAAUUAUAAGUUUCGAUUCAUGUUAAUGUUUGUAUGUCAAAUGGUACUCCGGUACGGCAUAUCCCUCUAUGUUGAAGAAAUGUUCGUAUGUCAAAUGGUGCCCUCGGGUACGGCAUGUAUGAAAAGUUAUAAAGUUAAUGUUUUGAAAUGUAUAACUUGAUCACGAAUGCACCUAUGACACCUAUUGAGUUUUUCAACUCACGGGUUUAAUCACAUCUCUACAGAUUGAAGGAAUUCUACGUCGGGCAUGGAUGGAGGAGAAGAUGGAGAGUGAUACAACAAGCCCAUGGAAAUCCGGUGAAUAAGUUAUUUGGAUUUAUUUUUAUGAAAUGUUUUCCAAUGUUAUUUCAUUAAAGUUUUGAAUAACACAAAAUGCGAGAACAAGUUAUGUUUUGUUCAAACAGUAUACACUUAUUCACUUAUUACUAAACCACCGAUUAAGCUAAGUAAAGUAAGUAACGUUCCGGUCCACUAGGGGUCGGGGCAUUACAUAUCUUCACAAGUGUCUUGCACAAAACCAUAAACCCUUUUGUCAAUACAUGGAAUAUCUUGUGUACCUAAAGCCAAAAUGUCAUGUGAACGUAACCUCUUAUCUGCAACUAUUUCGAGACUGUCUUCACUUCCAUUGGAAAAUGUUGUUUAAAUAUUUUGAAGGUUUUUAAGCUUUUGUGUGCCACUACUUUUUGAACUCGUAAGCCUCUUUUGUCAUUUAAUGAAAUUUCCUUUAACUUGUCUUUUAGACUAAUUUGAUUUCCCUCUUGGUAAUAAUUCUUCCUUUCCCAAGUAGUCUUCCAUAUCUCCUAACAAGUCAUCAUCCUCCAAUUUGAGGUUUUGUUUAUUUUACCAAUUUCAUCUCUAUGCCUGCUCGAUCCCUUUCAACUAAGAUUUUGUCGGAUUUUACCAAUUUCAUUAAAACAUCCUAGUCGGAUUGGACUGAUUUCAUUGACACAAAUUCGUCAAAAAGAUCUUGUCAUAACUUCAAGAAUUUUCUAUUACCAAAUCAAGCGGAGAUAAAAGUCGAUUAUCUUUAAUAAUCGCUUUUUUAACCAAGUGAAGUUGGUUUUCCGUAGAGUUUUCUUUCUCUUUGAAAAUGGUAUUGUUUAAUUCGCUUUAAAGAGAAUUUCCAAACCUUACACAAUUCAACAAUUUUUUAAAUGUUCCCAGGGUUAUUAAUUUUAUGACACUGUGAUGGAAGGCUUUACAGAGAGAUGUAAAUCCAUUCAAAUAUUUAUCCAUAUUAAAAGUCUAUGUCUGAAACCAUGAGAGAUUGAAUUCUAAAAAGAAGGCCAUAAGAGGUUUUGUGUGAAAGCUCUCCUAUCUAUAGUAUUCUUUAAGAAGGGAAGGACUAGUUUGAAAGUUUCGUGUAAUGAAUUAAAACGUUUUUGGAAAAAUCUUCUCUUCUGAACAUAAAAACCCAAUUUAUUUGUUAUUAUUAUUAUUUUUUAAAAUACAAUUUUGAUACAAAAUGGUUUUGCUUUCUGACUAAAUGUAGUCCCAAUAAUUAUAGGGCAGAUAAUACUUUAUUUCUUUUGCUAUUUAAGUAACAAUAGUUUUAUCAACAUUGGGAUUUAACCCCUAGAGUUUAAAAGUGAUUACUCUUAGGAAAAAGGCCUUACUGAAUCCAAUUUCAUUUUUAUUUUUGUCAUUGUGGACAAAUUCAACAGAUCUUAUUUGAGUCAAGAUUUCUUCAAAGAUGUUUGGAUUUUGGAUACUGUAUGUUCUUGUUAUCAAAAGGAUCAGAUAAAAAUUUCAGAUCUCCACCGUUGAGUAGUAGUAAUACAGUUUCUUUGUCAUAAGUUUCUUAACAAUUACCCUUUCCCUCAAUCAGGGCUCCUUUAGAAGUUUUAUCUUGCUUUAAGGAUUUUGAUUUUGGCUGAACUAUCGAUGCUUGCAUGAGAAUUUGAGGAGCUUUGGUUAUUUCUUCCCCUCUCCCUUCCCUGACCUUGGGAUGAUCUGCUACAGAUUGUCCCUACAAAAUUUCUCUUGUUAAAUAAUUUGGUAAUGAAUUUGAAUCUUUAGAAAUUUCUCUUGCAAAAAUUUGUUUUAAAACAAUAUUUUUAACAUAAGUUUUAAGACUUCUUUAACUAACUUGCAAUCUAUUAUGAGUAACAAUUCUUGUUUUAAAAGUCAUCUGGGAACUUAGAAAUACAUUUUAUUAUGGGAAGAAUUUCAUUUUUAAAGGUUGAAUGAUUUUUCUGUGUAGAAUUCAUGUCCCAAAUGUAUAUAUAAUGAGUUCAUCUUUAUUGUUUUUAUUAGGAUUCUUUUGCUUAAGUAUCCCUUUAUAGACUCACUUGGAGGCAUCUAUUUCUACAUUUUUGUAGUAUGAUGGAACUCACAAGACUAAGAAAGGGAACUUAGAAGCAAAAUUAAUACUUCUAUCAACUGGAAUUAUUGACCCCUCUUUAAUUUGAUGUCCAAAAGAUCUUAAUUCUCUCUAGAAUAAUUGCUCCUUUUUAGCUGAGAUAACCAAGCUAAUGACAUCAAAUAAAGUAUUUAAAUGUUUAAAAGGAUGGUCAAUAUUUUUGGAAAAAAAUUAAUAAGUCAUCAGUAUAAUAAUAGUGAAGGUAGAGAAUUGAGUAAAAAAAUCAUUCAUAAUUUUAAAUACUUGUGAUUUUCAUCAAUCUGAAUGUUGCCAAUAUCCUGAUUUUAAAUAAAAAUUGAAAAAUACGAGACCUUCACUAUGUCUAAAUAAUAGAUUUCUUUUACUAAGAAUGGGGUGCUUUAACCACCGUUUACCUUACUUAAAGGUUUAUUUCUUGUGAGAGAUUUUUAACCAUAUAAGGAAGGAUAAGUUUAUAUAUAAUCCAUCAUUGCAAGCAUAUGCAUUAUAAAGUUUAUAUUUUACUUUCAUAUUUAGUCUAUUAGCAGUUGUUAUACUUUAUGAUGUUUUUUCAAAAUACUUUGUCGGAAUCAUUCUCUAACACAAUUUAGAUCAGUACCACUAUCAACUAAAGAAGUCAUUUUGAUAGUGAAUGAUUUAUUUAAUUACUAAGGCAAUUUCUACUCACCACCAUUGAAUAAUGAUCUUAUUCUCCAAGGAGAGAGCUAUUUGACUGUUAGGUCCUGAGGUUUCUAAUGAUGAACUCUAUUAUUUUGAUUUCUUUAAAUCUCCAGUUUCCAUUUGAAUUAUUUUUUCAUGUAAAAAUUCACUCGCCUUUUGAGAUCUUGUGGUUAACCUCUUUAUUUAACUUUCCCAAAGUUAUCGGUUUAUCCUUAGGGUUUCCAUCCAGUCAAAAAUCUCCUCAAUAGAGAGAAAUUCUGUUUGAACUUUUGGUAUUGGACUAUAAUUUUUUUUCUUCCUUGGAGUAUUUGUUUAGGGUUUUUCUGCUAUAACUUUUUUCUCUAUUGGAUAAUAAAAUUUGAUCAACCAUUUCAAGAAGAAAUUUUUUAUUGUUCGAUAUAACAUUAAUCGGUAGUCCAUUCAUAUUCAUAAUUGUGUUAAUCAAGUAUUUUUACAUGAAAAUUCGUUUGAACUUUUUCUUCUCUUUCAGAAGUAGUUGAAGAAUUACUUGAAUAAUAAUGAUCCGACGCUCUUGCACUGUUUAACUUAUUAUUGAGACAUGGAUUUGAUCUUUAAGAUCGUCAGAGAUAUUUAAUGUCUCAAUCUGAGAUAUUUUGAGCAUAAGGUGUCAAUCUGUAGUUCUUGAAUUUUUUCAGACCUACAUUGGAAGCAUAAUUUCCUAAUUUAUGACAUUUCCACUCUGAUAAGUUGAUAAGUAAGUGCCAUGGAAAACUCCGAUAAGUUCAGAAGUUCUGAAGGAACCAAAAAGAAUUUACUCUCACAAAAUCAAGCAUGAAUAUGAUGCCAUGAAUUCAUAAAUUAUCUAGUAAAGGAAACUAAUAUCCCGUUUGGCCCCCAUUAAUUUUUAUUACAUUACAUUACAUUUUUCUCUCUCCUAUUUUCAACCACACAAUCUUCUAUAAAAUAAUAUUACACGUAAAUCAAAAACUUUUCCUUCUUUUUCAACCACUCUUUUUUAAAAAAAUACUAUUCCACUCAUUUUCAACUCUACAAAAUGGGGGCUAAAUAUCCUAAGUUCAAUGCUGGAAACUGAUUCCUAAUGGAUCUCUUUAAAUCACGCUUAUUCCACCAUCAAAUAAGGAGCACAGGCCAUACAACUCAGGAAAAUAAUUAAUAAUAAAUAAGAUAAUUUAGCUAUAUUAAGAAGAUUGCUUUUUAGUGGCAGCCAACCAAAAUCAUGUAACUCAUCAAUUUAGGAAACUAAACUUUAAUUCACACAAUCUUGAGUAGUUCUUCUUGAGGAGCUUUAUUGCCAGAUUAUUCCAAAGCUUGAAUCAUGGAAAUCCAUUUCUGUGGCACACGUGGAGCAUCUUCCUCGGGCCUCCAAGAAUUCACCUCAGUCUUAUUUUGAAUCAGCCAUUGAGAGUUUCCUUGAACCUUUUAGCUCCAGCUCUUGUGGCCAAUUGGAACUUGAAUAGGAUCUACAAUCCAUUUAUUAUCCAUGCCCUCUUCAUUCCCCUCCUCUUGAAAAGUAUUUGUCCUCAAACCAUUACCUAUAUCAAAAGGACUUAAAUCUGAUAACAUGGAAAAUGGCCCUAACAUUGUACUCAACGGGCAAAUCCAGCCUGUAUGCAUUGUCAUUGAUAUGCCCAAUGACUUGAAAAGGUCCAUAUCCUCUUAGAAGCAACUUAGAAUGCCUUUUUGUCAGAAACCUCUCUUUCCUCAGCUUUUGGCGCGCUUUUUCAGCUUGUUUGCAUAUUGUUUCAUUUUCCUCUCGACGAUAAGUCUUUCCUUUUCAUGUAUCUUCCUAACAAAUUCAACUUUUUUCUUUCCAUGCUAGCUAGCAUGUUUAGACCUUUUAGACCUAAAGUAGUUAAAGGAUUUAAACCAUAAACAAUUUGAAAUGGUGAAAAAUUGGUAGCAAAAUAAACAUGAAGAGAGAAAAACGUAAUUGAGAAAGAAAAUAUGAAGAGGAAUAGAAAAUUUGUAUAAUUAUUCUGUUUUAAUUACUAAAAGAAAGACUAUUUGUUGGUUUACAUAUAACCAAAAGUAGAUACUUUUCCAUGUAAAAUACCUUUUAAAGUUAGCAUAAAGUUUUUCAGCUUCAAGACUACUACUUUAUAUGCUCAUCUAAGUUUUUAUUAUAAACUAGAAUGUCAUUGAAGUAAAUUACUACGAAUUUAGCUAUGAAUAUACACAAAACAUGGUUCAUUAAUCUCAUGAAAGUGCUAGGCACAUUAAUAAGUCGAAAUAUAGUAACUAUUUCAUACAAUCCAUAUUUAGUCUUAAAAGCAGUCUUCAAUUAUCUUUUUCUCUCAUCCUAAUUUGAUGAUGUCCAUUUUUAAGAUCUAUUUUACUAAAUAAACACGAUCCAUAUAGUUCAUCAAGCAUAUCAUCUAACCUACAUUUGAGAUAACGAUAAUAUACCGUUAUAUUGUUGAUUGCACUGCAGUCAAUGUACAUUCUCCAAGUCCCAUCCUUUUUAGAUACAAGUAGCAUUCGUGCGGCACAUGAACUCAUGCUUUUCCUCACAUAUCCUUUGCUCAUCAAUUCUUGCAAUCGCCUUUGAACCUCCUUUGUCUCAUCAGGAGUACUUCUAUAACCUAGCAGAUUUGAAAUCAGCUCCAGGGGUACACAAACAAUCUGAUACUCAAUGCCUCAAAUGGGUGGUAAUUUAUUAUGCACUUUUGUAGGGAACAAGUCUUCAAAUUCUUGCAACAAAGAAAUAGCCAAAUUGGGAUGCAUUGGAGAGUUUCUUCAUUAUCAAGGUAUGAUUCCUUGUAGACUAGCAAUAUCAAAAGCUGGUCUCCCAUUAGGGGCCCUCUUUGGUUCAAUCUCUUAUGCAUAGAAACUUACUUUUCAAUUUUUUUCCUCCUUGAAGACUCUCUUUAAUUUCUCUCUUGUGGCCCCACUAUUUUCGCUUUAUUUUCAGCCAUCUUGCUAUUUUCUCUUUUCUUUGUAUUAUCAGUGUCACUCUCCUUUCCCCUCUCUUUAUUUUUCUUCUCUUCCUUGCUUCCCAAUUUCAAUUGAUCUUCAUAGCCUUCAUCACUGCUGCCUUGGCAACCAAACACAUUUUGGUGUUAAUGGAACAAGAGUAAUAGAUUUUCCAUCUUUGACAGAGCGGUACCUAUUUUUGUAUCUGUCAUGUAUCACUUUCUUAUCAUACUGCCACGGCAUCCCCAUCAAGAUAAGCUCAGCAUGCAUAGGAACCACGUCAUACAUCACCUCAUCACUUAACUUCCCAAUGUAAAGCUCACCAAGACUUACUUGCCUACAAAACCCUAAACCUCUCCACAUUCAAUGAAUUACUCCAACCUAUAGAGUCUAGGAUCUUUCUAAUUCUCGAAAAAUGAGGGGCAAUGGGAUGAUGGAGAAAGAUCUAUCGUUCUUAUUAUAGGAUCAUGAUUGGAUCCGCAUGUGUUUGGUAAAGAGAAUAAUCUUCUCAUUUGAAAAUAAUCAAAAAUUGAAAGUGUUCAAUUGGAACAUGAAAACGUGACUAAAUGGUCCUAGUUACUCUUCGGGACAGAGUCGGAGAAGGGAAGGGAUUCUCAAACACAGAAAAGGAUCUAAUGAAUUCAAAAGAAUUGAACGAGGAGCUGUAUGAGGUGAAAAUCUCAUGUACGAUUCUGUAGAGUGGCAGUAAGGGUGACUUAUCUGUCAACAUUUCCACUAUCACCCCAAAAAAUAAAACUCUGCCUUACGUAAAGUUGCCAGAGUACGAUUAACCUCUGGAUUUGAAAUCAUUGCUUAUAUACCCGGUAUUGGCCAUAAUUUACAAGAACAUGCUCUAGUCUUAGUAAGAGGGGGA
rnacentral:lncRNA from 1 species